GGGUUGUCAUUAAUAUUUUUCUUAACGAAUGUGACAUAAGUCGCAGAAGUGAACUUGCGGAGGAGCGCAUAGCUAUAGAUGGCGAUGGUUACGAGGGAAUCAAAGGAUUUAAGGACGAUGGGGCAGGAUAGUGCUUCCAGCGAGGGUGGUGGUUGCGGUAAAUGGCGAGGGCGGUUAUUGUGAUAGAACUAGAGAAGAAAGAUGAAGCAGAUGAAAUUGCACGGUUAAGAUCAAUUUAUAUUAUUUCAGAAUAAGUACUGUUUGAAACGAAGGUGCACUUUUGAGACAAAAAGUACAUACUUUGAAAUUAAUAAAAGUUACACUGUUUGAGAAAUUACAAUCCUUAAAUGAAAAUUGUACCAUUUAAUUAUUUGAGACUAUGUUGCACUAUAUAACAUAGAUGUUGCAUUGUUUGAGAUUAAGUUGCAUUGUUUGAAAUUAAAUUAUAACUAAGCAGUGAGGCUUCUUCACAUGUGAAUAGUUUCUCUUUACAAUGAAAUUGUCCUUAAAAAAAUAGUAGUUUUCCUACAGCAAAUGAAGUCCUUGAGAUAGUGGGAGUCGAUCUUAACAUCGAUCACCUCAAUCUUCUCCUUCCCAAGAGCCUCCUUCUUAGGGAUGUCAAUGGGUAUGGAUAUCCGAAAUUUUAUCCGAAUCCGAACCCGAAUGAAACGGAUAUAUCCGAUGGAUAUGGAUAAUAUGGAUAUAAAAAUAAAAACCCGACAGAUAUGGAUUCGGAUAUGGAUUUUGAUUGUACCCGACCAGAACCCGAACCCGACCAGAACCCAAAUUUAUUUUGUAUUAUAAUAUAUAUAUAUAUAUAUAUAUAUAAUUGAGAUAGAAUACUUUUAGAAGCACCANUUUUCGUCAGCUCCUUGGUUAGCUUUUCGUUAGAUUAUAUACAAAAAAACUUCAGAUGCUCUACCUAUAGUUUACCGAAUAUUCACUUUUAGCUUUAAUUUUGUUACCGAUCUAAUAAAAAUAAUUAAUGGAAGAAGAUAAUGUGAAUAGAAUAUAGAUAUCCGAAAUUUUAUUUGAAUUUGAAUUCAAUGGAGCAUGCUUAUCUUAUAUUGAACAAAUAUACUGGAAUAAAAAUUGGAACUGAGGAAUUUGAAUUCGGGUAUGAAUUUUGUUUGUACCCAAUCUGAACACAAGUAAAUUUUACAAUAUAAUACAGAUAUAUAUAGGCUAGGGCUAUUAUACUUUUAUUACUAUUGACUUAUUUGUACUCAUUAGUUUUCGGCCGUUGGAUGAAGGAAACUACGGUUAGGAUGAUAAUAGUACCCUAGGGUUGAGUGGGGGGUUGGUUGAACAGUAUGAUCUAAUGGGUGGAAAUAGUUAAAGGAGUAGAUCUAACGCCGAAAAUUUAGGAAUAAGAAGUCUAUAAUCAUAAAAGUACAAUAGCUGAACUCUCUCUCUAUAUAUAUUUGAUGUUAUAUUUGAAUUUAUAUUUUAAAAAUUUAGAUUUUAAUAUAAUAUGUUUUGAAAUAUGGUAAAGAAAAUUUUUUUCAUAUUGGAAUUUUCGGAAUUGGAUUUUGUGUUUCGUGUUUUUGGUUGUGUUUAGUUUGGGAUAUGGAUUUUCAAAACUCAUCGGGUUGAGAUUCGGAUUCUAGUUUCGGAUUUAGGGUUCGAUUUAUUAAAAAUCCAUCUGGCCAUAAGACAUUCUUAGAAAGGUAACCAAAGGUGUUCGUUUCACUUUGUUUUCUUUAAAGAAACAAUCUCAACUAUAAAUGUGAAGCAACAAAAGUGUAAACUCGGAGGUCCCAAUGCCAACCAUGAAAUCUCUAACCAAUUACUCUAGUUAUAAUUGGUAAUUAUUGUUUUGCUAUUAACUCUCCAACUUUUUAUAAUUUAUUUCAAGUUAGAUCCAAACUACCCAAAAUUUUUGUAAAUUAUUUAAACUCUAAUAAAAUUCUGUUUACUUAUAAAGAUCACAAUUAUAGUCCAAUAAUUUUUAGUCAAUUUCAGUGCUGAUUUUCUUUAAGUUUAUUAAAAAGCUUGGUCGUACAUCAGGUUCGAGCCAAAAAUACCACAUGUUCUAAACGAGAUUGUAGACAUCGUGUGCGAGAUCGAAAUAGUGGUACCACGAUGAACGCAUGACGGAGAGGAAGUUGCGGACUAAAUUGUUAGAAUAGGUAUAGAUUAAAGUCCAGUAGUGCAUUAAUUCUAAAAAAAUUAAGAAUCGAGUUACCAAAAAUAAAAAGAAAUGAUAAAGAUAAAUGUGAAAUUGUGAUUCUUGAAUUGGUAUGUCAUAAGAUUACAACCCAAUAUUAAGGAUUGCAAUUAUAGCACUAUUAUAAAAUGGUUAGGAACCAAAUUAAAAGAUGUACAAAAGAUGAGGAUCAUGGUGCAAUUAAUCCCUGACUCCUUUUUCAUGUGUGCGGUGGUUGUGGUGCGUGCGUUGCAAUUUGUGAAAGAGGUUAAAUGCUCACGCCUUUUUAUGAGGCUUGAUUGGAAUUUGGAUAUGAAUAAUUUGUUUAAAAUACAAAACAAAAAUUGUAAAUAUUUGUUUCUUUAUUUUAUCUUUGGCAUUUUUUAUUUUUUAUUUUUGCAUAAAACAUACACUGAAUUUUGUAAAAGUGGACCAUGUUUUUAACAUUUUUGCAUAAAAAAAUCCACCUAUUUUGUGUGUUACAAAUAUAGAUCAUUAUUUUAGAUUUUACAUAUUCGAUUCGAAUUUUCAAUACACUGAUAAAAAUUCUCUUAUUCCUUUCUGUCUCUCUUUUUUUUUUCUUUUGUUCUUAUUUUUUUUCUUUAACCCUACUCCACUACUUCCGUGGCCCUCGGCGACGGUAAUGAGAGCGGCGUCACUUCCUCUUCUUCUGCAUCUGCCGACGGCGACACCGAUACCAGCGCCGAGGGGGGGGGGGGGGGGGGUGUCGGGGGACUUGAAGCCGGUGUGGUGUGAGGGCGAAGCAACGAGUCGAUGAAGUCGUGGUUGAAGCCGUGCUCAUAGGUCAUUGUUGCCCAUAAGAGGUGACGACAAAGACGCCCGCGUUCUCAAGGAGACAUCGUUGGAGUCGGUGAUGGUGCCAUGUGCUUUCUUCCUCUUGUCUCUUUUCAUGGCUCGAUCGAUAGAUAGAAUUAUUUUCUUUUUUUUUGCUCCACCAUCCAAAAGUCCAUUGUGGGUUGUCAUUAAUAUUUUUCUUAACGAAUGUGAAUAAGUGCCAGAAGUGAACUUGCGGAGAGCGCAUAGCUAUAGAUGGCGAUGGUUACGAGGGAAUCAAAGGAUUUAAGGACGAUGGGGCAGGAUAGUGCUUCCAGCGAGGGUGGUGGUUGCGGUAAAAUGGCGAGGGCGGUUAUUGUGAUAGAACUAGAGAAGAAAGAUGAAGCAGAUGAAAUUGCACGGUUAUAGAUCAAUUAUAUUAUUCCAGAAUAAGUACUGUUUGAAACGAAGGUGCACUUUUGAGACAAAAAUACAUACUUGAAAUAUAUAAAAGUUACACUGUUGAGAAAUUACAAUCCUUAAAUGAAAAAUUGUACCAUAAUAAUUAUUUGAGACUUAUUGUUGCACUAUAUAACAUAAAUGUUGCAUGUAUUGGAGAUUAAGUUGCAUUGUUUGAAAUUAAAUUAUAACUAAGCAGCUGAGGCUUCUUCACAUGUGAAUAGUUUCUCUUUACAAUGAAAAUUGUCCUUAAAAAAAUGUAGUUUUCCUACAGCAAAUGAAGUCCUUGAGAUAGUGGGAGUCGAUCUUAACAUCGAUCACCUCAAUCUUCCCUCCCAAGAGCCUCCCUUCUUAGGGAUGUCAAUGGGUAUGAUAUCGAAAUUUUUCGAUUCCGAACCCGAAUGAAACGGAUAUAUCGAUGGAUAUGGAUAAUAUGGAUAUAAAAUAAAACCCGACAGAUAUGGAUUCGGAUAUGGUUUAUUUUAUUGUACCCGACAGAACCCAACCCGACCAGAACCAAAUUUAUUUUGUGAAUAUAUAUACUAUAUAUAUAUAUAUAUAUAUAUAUAUAUAUAUAUAUAUAUAUAUAUAUAUUUGAUGUUAUAUUUGAAUUUGUAUUUUAAAAAUUUAGAUUUAAUAUAAUAUAUUUUGAAAUAUUGAAAAAACAAAUAAUUAUUUCGGGUUCAAAUUUUCGGGUUCGGGUUCGGGUUCAGGUUCGGGUUUUUGGUCGGGUUCGGGUUUGGAUGUGGAUUUUUAAAAUCCGUCGGAUUCGGGUUCGGGUUCGGGUCUCGGGUUCGGAGUCGGGUUCCGGUUCGGGUUUUUAAAAAUUCGCCCCGAAUCCGACCCAUUGACAUCUCUACUCCUUCUCCUUCUUCUCGAUCCCUUCUUCUUCUCUCCCCUUCCGUCAUUGCCAUCGCCGCUGAUGUUGCCGCCGCCACUGCCACCGACAACAACACGGCUACAGGUCUCAAACAAUGGAAUUUCUUCUGAAACAGUGUAACUUGAUCUUAACAGUACAACUUUAUCUUCUUUUUCUUUCUUCUCUGGUUCUACUACCGCCAUCACCCUCGCCGAAAGUGCUCUCUACCGCAGCCACCGACUUCGCCCUCUAUUACAGCUAUCGCCCUUGCCGGACAUGCUCUCUCGCUUGGUAAUCUUUAAAUCCUUCGGUACCCUCAUCGCCGUCGCUAUCCGCGACCAUGUGCUCCACUGCAAGCUCACUUCAGGAGUGAUACAUGUCAAAAUAACUGAUGAUGAUGAUAAUUACUAGUAUAAUCUACUUUCAUUCUCUAUGUACUUCUCGCAGUAGAAGAUAAAGGUUUAAACAUUAAAAUUAUAAUUUAAAUAUAUUGAAUUAUUUUAAUAUUAUAUGUUGUUAAUUUAAAAAAUCUAUAUCAAAUCUUGCCAACACGGAGGCUUUCCACUACAACAGAAUUAAAUUAUACCGACAUAUUUUUUAGACAUUUUUAUGUAAAUGGCCCAUUUAUGCCAAAAUUUUUAAAAAAUUUCUACUAAGGUUUAAAUAUAAAGCCUAAUCAAACUAAAAAUAAAAGGUUACUCUACUCAACCCAUCACACCCAGCCUAUUCGGCCCGAUUACAAACAGAAAGAAAAAAAAAGAAAAAUCGAUCACCGUUAUCCCUUCUCCCCUCACUCAAUCUACUGAAACUCUAGACGAAGAGCCCCUCACUCUAGUCCUCCUCCGCGCCGCAGCCUAUGAGGUAGGAUUCCGACGGUUGCUAAAUGCUUAAAUAAGUGUUGGUAAAUUAGCAGUAUUUUUUUUAGAUUCUACCGACACUCUUAAACUGUCACUAUAUACCUAGCGACCCCACAUAUAGGAACACUUUUUAAAAGUGUCGGUAAUUUAGUUAGCAGCACUUUUUUUGACCUGUACCGAUAUUUAAAAGUGUCGCUAUACACCGUUUUUGUUGUAGUGCCAGUUGCACGGCAAUUCUUAUUGAAAAAUUAGUUAAAUAAAAAGUUUGGGCCAAUGAUACAAUUAACCCUAGUAAAAAUUUCUGAGGUGAAAAUAAAAGGACUGGGAUUAAAAGAUUGUAUAGGCAGUUCAAUGAGGAAAAUUUUCCCACGAGGGAAAAUGAAAAUGAUUUAUGUACCAAAUUAUUAUAAAUAGAGAAGUAUUUACUACUUAAUAUAUAGUGGAGUGAUGAAUUAAUUGAUUAAGUUCAAUGCAUUUGUUCUACUAAAUUAAUUAUUACUGAUUUAUAGUACUGAACUAUUCAGAUCUUGGCCUAUAACUCUUUUAACUCCUUAGACCUUGCUACUGCCCAAAAUUAUAGCCGGGUUAAGAAUUUUAACCCUAUUAUUCUUAUGUAUAGGACUAUCUGAGUUUCACAUUCCUCUCUCUUCUUUAAGUCAUAACAUUCUCAUCAGGCUCAGACUCACAAAUAUUAGGCGAUUUAAAACUCGUCUCGCUAGCCUUAACAGAUCUUAUGGAAGAAUCGUGGUCUACCACAACAGUUAUCAGUAUGAGAGUCUCGCUUUUCUCGCUAUAUAAUCUAGCUUAGCCGAGACUCAUCUCAUUGGCUGGUAAUUGGCUCUAAUACCAACUCUGACACCCCAACUUUCCAAUGGUUCACCUAUCUUAAAACUACUCUAGUCCUAACACGUUUUGCUCUUAUCUUUUAGGUCUAACCAUCACUCAAAAUGUUAUAACCGAAUUAAGAAUUUUAGCUAUACUAUAUUUUUAUAUAAAACUAUCUGGGUCUCACAAAAAUAUGGUAAUAGAACAGGCAUAAAACUAAAGUAAUCUUUAUGCAAAGGAUAGUUAAGUUGACACAGCUAAUUAAAAUGUAAGGCCUUUCUCUUUUCAUUAUGUUUUAUGUGGUAAUUUAGCCAUUUUUAAAAGAGUAUCCCUGUUUUAUUAUAUGUAAAUUUUUGUUCGUAUACUAGUUCUCAACAAUUUUUUUUUUAUUAGAUUCUUCAUCUUCAUUUUCUUUCUCCUUAUAUUUAUUCGUGCAUGCACACGUACACGCGCAAAUGCACACAAUUAUGUAUAUAUUAUAUUAUAUUAUAUGUAGGUGUGUGUGUACAGAACUAGGCUAAUAUAUUAUUAAUAGCACUAAAUCAUUAGUGCUACCAAGUUUUUGGCCAUUGGAUUAAGAGAUGUGCGGUUAGGAUGAUGUGGACCCCCUAGAGUUGAGUGGGUGAUUGGUUGAAUAGUAUGAUCUAAUGGGUGACACUACAACAAAAACGGUCUAUAGCGACACUUUUAAAUGUAGGUACAUGUCAAAAAAGUGCCGCUAGCUAAAAUUACCGACACUUUUAAAAGUGUUGCUAUAUGUGGGGUCGCUAAGUAUAUAGUGACAGUUAAAGAGUGUCGCUAUAACCUAAAAAGUGCUGCUAAUUUACCAACACUUAUUUAAGCAUUUAGCAACCGCCGAAACUCUAUCUCGUUGGCUGCGGUGGCGGAGGAGGACGACAGGAAAGGCUUUUCGUCUAGAAUUUCAAUGAAUUGAGUGAAGAGAGAAGAAAAGAUGGUAAUUGAUUUUUCUUUUUUUUUUCUUUUCUGUUUGUAAUCGGGCCAAAUGAACUGGGUGUGGUGGGUUGAGUAGAGUAAUCUUUUAUUUUUAAUUGGAUUGGGCUUUAUAUUUAGGCAUUAGUAAAUAUUUUUUAAGUUUUAGCAUAAAUGAAACACUUACUCAAAAGUGUCCCAAACAUGUGUCCCUAUAACCUAAUUCUGUUGUAGUGUGAAAAUGAUCCAAAGGGUAGAUCCAACGGCAGAAAACUUGGUAGCACUAAAUACUUCGUGCUAUUAAUAACAUAGUAGCCGGACUCUACAUAUAUAUAUAUAUAGAAUUAGGCUACUAGACUAUCUAUAGAACCGGAGCCCCAGUACUAUAGUCUUGUUUUCGAUUUUAGAGUAUUCAAAUUAACGAUCCACACCGUUAAAUAUGAUUUAGGAUAUAUGAAGUUCUUAGGAAUAAAAUUUUAGUUUUUUUUUACAUUCAUAAUUUGUUUACUUAGUAAAUUAAAUUAUGUUAAAUGGACGAUGAAAAUAAUAUUCUUUAAAAUUUGAAGCAUAGGAACUUUUAAAUUCAAGGUCAAGAAUGUGUAACCUUAAUCUAGAUUAUUUAAAGUAUUCUUUCUAUUCAAGAAUAUUGAAGAAAUUUAAAAAUCUUGCUCUACCGUAUAACUCUCAAUAGCCAUAGUAGCAUUGAAAUUAACCAAUUUUAAAAUGGUUCGAUUAUAAAUGUAAACUAUGUCGAGAAAAUUAUUACAAUUUUAUUCUAAAAAUUUAAAAUACCUAGUAUCAGUUUUAACGUGUCUAUCAUUCAUUUGAACACUCUAAGAUGCUCGAAAACAAGACUAUAGUACGAGCCCCGGUACUAUCUUAAACUAUAUAUUAUUCCUACGUGUAGCGAGGAGGCUGAGGCGCGGUGGGGCGCGGCCCGCGAGGCGGAUGGCAGGCUCGGCCACGGGCGCUGGGCGUCGGCAAGCGCCGACGGCGCCUGCUUAGGGGCUGGCUCCGGCGGCUGGCGCCGCGGGGCGAGGGCUGGCUGCUUGCGCGCGGGGUGGCUCCGGCACUGGAGCCGCCGGGGUGAGGGCGGCGCGCGAGGGGGCAGGCCGGGGAGGGGGGCGGCGCGGUGCGCGGUUCCUGGCGCCGAAAGCCGAAAAAAAAAAAAUCGCGACUCUGGUAGUGGCGGUGGAUUUCCACGGGUGUCACGAGGCCAAAGUGGCCUCGGUGCCAAAGUGGCUCGUGGACCACACAUGAGAGGCUCACUUCUCUCUCUCUCUCUCUCUCUCUCUAUCUCUCUAUAUUAUAUAUAUAAUUUUAUUUAUAUAAUAUAUAUAUAAUUUAUUUAUAAAUAUAUAUUUAUGUAUUAUAUAUAGUAUUUUAUAUAUAUGUAAAUAUAAAAUUUUAUUUAUAAAUAUAUAUUUAUUUAUUUAUAUAGUAUUUUAUUUUUAUAUAGAUAUAUUAUUAUAUAAUAAUUUAUUAUAUAAUUUACUAUUUAUUUUUAUAAAAUGUAAACUAUAUAAAUAAAUGUUAAAUAAUUUAGACUAUUGGUAUUAGAUAUACUUAUUGCAUUACGAUACCUACUAAAACUUAUUUCACUAACUACUGGGGGACUACGAUGCCUACUAAAAAUUAUUUCUUAUUAAAUUAGGAAAGAUGACUGCAUUUAUUUAAAAUUAUUUCGUAAUUUGUCUGUAAUAUUUCAUAAUUAUUCUAAAAUUAAUUUUUACAACUAAUUUUUAAAAUUAAAUUUUAAAAUAACUACCCGCAGCAUGAUUUCUCUUCUCAUUCACUAACUACUAGAAGACUACGAUACCUACUAAAAUUAUUUCACUAACUAAUGGGAGAUUACUAUGCCUACUAAAAUGUUUUGAUGUACUUAUUACAUCAUUUAAAUUCUGAAAUUGAAUUUUAUAACUAAUUUUUAAAAUUAAAUUUUAAAAUAACUAUCCGCAGCAUCGGACGGUUCCCUUAACUAGUUUUAUUUUAUUUGGAUUGAGACAGGCCUUCACUAUUGAUUUUUUGAGAAGCGAUAUUUCUGUUCUUGUAAGGGCAUCUGUGUAAAUACAUGCCUUUAGAAGGGCAGUGAGGAAUUUCUCCUUUUAAAAAAAACUUAAAGAGGGUAAUUUCAAAAUACCCUAUAGUUGAGGGGGUCUCCAUACACUUUAACCUAUAAAUGAGGGCUUUUUUUUACAUUUAGCCCCCUUUUAAUUUGUUUUUUUCACAAAUAGCCCUNUAUAUAUAUAUAUAUAUAUAUAUAUAUAUAUAUAUAUAUAUUUCACUGUACAUAGAUAUACAUGUGAUAUAACAAGCUAAGAAGCUCCCAGAAUUUGACAUUCCCAAACUAAGGCCCACACAAAAUGUAUGUGGAAAAUAGAGGGCAUAGUGUGUUAUUUGGACUAUAUUGCUCUUAGAUUAUACCUAGUAAGCAUGUUGAAGCAUCUACACUUUUCUUUUAAUGUGUUGUAUCUUUCACCACUCUUAUGAUAUGACUGGAUAAGAUAUGUAGUUUAACAUGUGUUGCCAUUUGAUUUAACCAAUUCAAUUAAGUUGUCCAAAUUAAGUCAACAAUUUUCAUAUGCUUGGAAGAAUGGAAAAUUCAUGGAAAAAAGGGAGAACAAAAUCAGUGCUACAUUUGACUUUGCUGGUAGGGAUAAUUAUUGUAAUUAUAAGAAAAAUCAUAAAGUAAUCAUUAUUGUUAGAGAUGAUUAAGUACAGGAGAGAUGAUUCAUGUUGCAACACUAGAGUGUAAUGUUGAUGGAUGAAGCGUUUCUAAUAGCGCAAUUAGGAAAGGGGACUAGAUUAAAGUCUUUUCAAAUAUAUAUUUCUGUAUAAUACAAGUGAAAACACUAAUUUCGUGCGUUCGUAAAUCUACUUAUCUGAUGCUUAUUGCAAUAACAGUAUCGGACUUUUUCGUUUGCUAAAGAAUGUACUGGAAAUAAUCGUUAUUAAAAGCAUAUUGGCAAGUCCGAACGAGCACUAGGAAGCAGCUUGAUUCGCUGUAUUCAAGUUACAGUGUAGCGCAACCAAGAGAAAAGUAUAAAUAAUUUGUUUAGUUAGAAAUAAAUAUUGUUACUUAAAUACUACAAUUGGACCUACAGAAGAAACCUCAGCUAAUUCAUUUGAGCUACACCUUAAUGUGGUUAGAAGUGUUGGAUCAUCGACAUUAACUACAAUUAUAAAAACUUGAGCCCUGCACAAAUAACCGCACAAAUAACCGCAUGCAGGAUUGUAAUUCAUUAUUUGCUAUGAUACUACUUGUUGUUCAUUGGCACAAAUGAUAAUUCCAAAUAAAUUCAGGUAAAGUGUAUAAACACAACGCUCACAGGUCUCAACUGUGACUUGACUCGUCCCGACCUCAGCCAUUAGGCAGAAUACUAGCCUAUUUGCCAGCAAAAAGUACACAGUGUCAAAAUAUAAUUCUUCUCUAUUUAUCAACAGAAAGUGUACUAGUUCAAAAUAUAAUUCUUUUCUCGAGGUAAUCUUAAAUAUUAACUUAUUUAAAAAAUAAAUUUUCUUUUUCGUCUUUCGAGGUCCUCGAUCCAUAGACAUAAAAUAGCAAAAUAUGCAAAUCUAAUUUUCAACUGUUCGAGAUCCCAAUUUCCAAUGCUAGUUGUCUUAUAUUUCUAUCUGAGUUCAUGUUUUUUUUAGAGAAAUAAAAAAGUUUAUAGUUUUAACAUUCUUAAUAUAAAUAUAUAUAACUCCUUUUUUAACUUUGCAUGCAUUUUUAGUUAUGUCCUAUUGAUAGCUACAUCCAAUCAAUAGGCCACUAAGCUAUUUGGGGUGACAGAAUCUCCAAAAGGUUGAUUGGGUCAAACUAUAUAUAUUGACCAAAUCAAAAGCACCUACUGUUUGUGAUUUGGCUUCUUGAAUGAUCAUCGAUUUGCGUCAAGAUCAAAAUGAUUCGGCUGAGAAAGGAGCGGCUCGGAUAGGAUUCUUUCUCAAUAUGUAAAAUGAACUAAACUUGGAAAACUUAGCAACUAAUUUGGCUGGAACUAGAGACGAACUUAUUAUAUUUCAUUGAACUAAUUGGGAUGGAACUUAAGCCGAACUAAUUAUGUUUCAUUGAACUAAUUCGGCUGGAACUUGAAUUACUAUAUUUUAUUGAUUGAAAGAAAAGUUAUAAACUAGAAACUACUCAUAAAAAAGCAGUAAAUACUAGAAAUAAUCUUAGAAGGUUACGCGAUACCCCUAUGAAAACAGUAAAUGUUGGAAAUAGAAAUAAAUAAAAAAAAAAGCAGUAGAAUUGUAUGCGGAAAGGUCCUUAUUAUAUUUCAUUGAUUGGAAGAAAAGUUAUAUGAAUUGUGGAGCACCAAGGCUCGGAUUAUAAUAAAACUAAAGACCAAGCUAUAAACUAGAAACUACUCAUAGGAAAAUAGUAAAUACUAGAAAUAACCCUAGAAGGUUACGGACUACCCCUAUAAAAGUAGUAAAUGUUGGAAAUAGAAAAAAAAAAAAAAAAGCAGUAGAAUUGUAUGCGGAAAGACCCUUAUUGCAGGCAACCUUUAGCUAAUUAUAGAAUCUAUGCAGACUUCAGUUAUCCUACAGCUACUGGAUGGUUUGCAUCGUGGAGAGUGCUCUAGUCACUUUCUUUUUAGUUGUGGUACUGCUUUCCACCUUUUUUAACAAUUUCUGUCCAAUAUUCAUUCAUCUUUGGACGAUUUCUUCUUAGCUCCUGGUGCACUAUGUAUUAUCUUUUUUGUCCACUGAAACUAAACACAUGAGCUGAGUUGUCUACCAGCUGAUGCUAAUUUUUCUGCGCAAAUAUAAACAAAAUUUUUUGACAGAGUGCUGCUGCAAAAACUCUCAAAUGUAUCCUACUAUUGAUGAUAUACCAAUAUUACGAUUAUACCCUAAAUAUUAAACUAUAACCCUUAUAUAUAUACAUAUAGGAUAGGACUGCUAUACUCUUAUGAAAUGUGACAUCCAAAUAAUCCCACAUCGGAUGGGAAUGAGGUUGUCAUUGGGUUUAUAAGAGACUUAGACACUAGUAAUAAUAACUGGACUUAAGCAUUUUGGGCUGUGGUUGGGCCCAACGAGUUAUUAUUGCUAAUGGGCUGAGUCGUUAUAUUUAGUAUCAGAGCCGGUUCACCAGCUGGACAUGUGUGGCGAGUCUCGGCUGAGCCAGGGUCUGGAUGACGGGCUAGUGAGAUAAGUCUCACAUUGCCUGGUGAUCUUGGGUUGUAUGUGUGAUUGGACUGACGAGGACGUCAGGGCCUUAACGGAUAGACACUAGUAAUAAUAACUGGGCUUAAGUAUUUUGGACUGUGGUUGGGCCCAACGAGUUAUUAUUGCUAGUGGGCUGGGUCGUUACAUGAGUAUAAAACCUUUUAUAAUUUUCGACUGUUGGAUAAAAGGAUGUGUGGUUAUGAUGAUAGUAGUCUCCCAAGAUUGAGUGGAUGGUUGGUUAAAUAGUAUAAUUUAACGGAUAAAAACGAUCAAAAAAUAUCUAACGGUAGAAAAUUCGAUAAUAUCAAAAACUUGAUACCAUCGAUAGCAUAAUAGCCAGACUCUAUAUACAUACGCCAGUUCAUCAUCAAUAUAAGAUAAUACUAAAAAAAAAGGUACUCAUGCAUAUCUUUUUUGGGAUCCAUAGAAUCAUAAGCUUCCUCCUGAUAAUGCCAAGUGGAAUGCACGUGUGGGACACCCAUUGGUCUGAAAAAUUUGGUGGCACGUGUGGGCGAUGAGGUUAAAGUUUCAAACCUAUCAUGUCCCCCAAAAGUGGGGGCACCAAAAUAUGGGCACUCGAUCUCACUCCAAAAUGAAUGGUCCCCCUCUCACUUUUAGCUUCUUCAACACUGAUGCAUGAUGAGUCGAUCAAGCUCACUUAGUUUGGUCCAAUUAUGUUGCACCUUAACCUAACCAAUUGCAUCAUGGCUAAAGUCACUCCACUCCACUCCACUUCCCUUUUUAGUGAUGUACACAACAAAGAGAAGUGCUUGGAGUACCACACUUUCAAUUGGGUAUCUCUAUUAUUAGAUUACUGAUUUGUUGGCCUAAACACAUUGAGGAGUUAUGAGUUAGGGUUUAUGAUGUAAUGAUGGUGUGCUUAAAGUUAAAUAAUGGUGUUUGAGGGUUAGUAAUUAAUCAUUAGAGUGUUAAUAAUAAUAGUGACAUGUCAUCAAUAAUAUUCUAAUAUACAGUUGGGGAUACCUGUGAUAGCACUCUUUUUUAUUAAAAAAUAAGAAAAACUUUAGUGUGCCUCUUUUUGUGUUUUAAACUCCUAUCCUAUAGUUUUACUUUUAUCUCACCUAAGUAAGGUACUAUAUUGAUAUAAUUUACAAACAACAUAGUGGCUAUAUAAAAAUAUAGUUUUAUAAUUUGUCAUCCUGUAGUUAAUUUUUACAAUAUAUUAAUUUACUGUUAUGUGUUGUAUAAAUUUUAUUAAUUUAGUACCAGACUUAACAGUGAGAUAAAAGUAAGAUGCCAGACUAAGAUAAAAGUAAGAUACCAGAUUUUAAUGACGAGAUAAAAGUAAAAUCACAUCAUAACAAAAUGAGACGGUUCAAGUUAUAAUGUGGCAAACUAAAAAUACGCUAAAUCAUAUAAAGAUAAAUUGUAAUUUUUUCUUAAAAAGGAGAGAAAAAAAAUAAUUUGCGCACUUAUUUAAGGUCUCGAGAGCAAGUCAUGCAUAAUACAACAUCACAUACGGUAGUUCAGUUGAUUAAUUAGUUAAUUGGUUUUUUUUUUUUCAAUACAAAAAUAUGUUUUAAGCGACGCUGGUGUUAAAAAUUUAAAAAAAAUUGUGAUUAGAAAAGAAUUAUUUUAAGGAACCAUUUAUUUUUUAGUAUUUGACUAUUAGCACUCAAAAUAUGAUUUGAGCUAGCUCAAGAGGCAGUGGACACUACCCUUUUGAGAGAAAUGGAACAAAAAUCUAAUAAAAAUUUAGGGUAAACUUUAAAUAUCAUUCCUGUGGUUUCGUACUUUUUUAUUUUAGUAGCAUGUGGUUUAAAGUGUAUCAAGUUAGUACCGUGUGGUUUCAUUUUUUUUUUUUUGUCAGCUCCUUUGUUAGUAUUUAAUUAAAUUAUAUACAAAAAACUUCAGAUAUCCUAUCUAAGUUUAUCUAAUAUUUACUAGUUUUAAUUUUAUCACUAAUUUAACGAAAAAAAUUAAUAAACUAAAUAAUAAAAAGAGAAAAAUAAAAUUAUAAAAUACUAAAUUGAUAUAUUUUAAAUUUCGAGAUAUUAAAAUGAGAAAGUAUGAAACCAUGGAGUGGUAUUUGAAGUUUUCCAAAAAUUUAUUCCCACCUUGCUUUGGAAUUCGCGCGCAUAUAAAUGGUCUCGUCAAAUCCCCCUCUCUCUCUCUCUCUAAAGUGGCCAACCAAGUGGACAGAAAAAUUUAAUGUAUCUUUGCUAUUUAUUAUUGUCUAAAAUAUAUUUAAUUUUUAAGUUAUCCUAGCUAUACACCUCAUCUGGAAUGUAUGAUCUAUCAGAUCGUUAGUACUAAUUAUUAAUUACAAAAGCUCAAGAUAUUAGAAAUACGUAGCUAAUUUAUUUAAAGCGUAUAGAUACAGCGCUCGCACACAGGUCUCGAUUGUGACUUAGCCUCUACCAUCCUAAUAUCAUUUCGAACAUUAUCGGGCUCAAUCCAACCUCACAUCAUUUUGAACAUGACUUAACUUAACCUGAUCUUCCACUAUAAGAUAAAAUACUAGUCCCUUUUAAGACAACAUGAACUACACCUCCCCCAUCUAAUGGGUCGAGGUGCUUCACUUGUCACAUAAGCAUAAAAUUUACGCCCAAAUGGGAUGUAUCAGUAGAAUUUAGCUAAAUUUAAGGAAAGGUUUCAGUUUAUUCCCAUGCUAUUUAGCGCAUAUUUAAUUUGAUACCUUGUAGGUUGAUAUGUUUCACUUUACUAUUCUAUGAUUUUAUUUUUAUGCUAGAAUUUAUAAAUCACUGGAUAAAGAAUUAAUAUAACUUACAAACCACAAGGUGGCAAAUUAGUGCAUUUUACUAACCUAUAUUUACCUAUAGACAAAUAAUAGUAUUUUACUAACCUAUAUUUUCUUAUAGCUGCCCUUUUGAUCCAUGAAAUAUAUCAAUUUAGUGUCCUAUUCAACGACAGCUUUAACGGCAAAAUAAAAGUAAAAAUGAAAAUGAAAAUGCGCUAAAAUCAUUAGGUACCCAAAUGAAAAUGCGCUAAAUCACAAUGGGCCAAAAUGAAGUUUUCCCUAAAUUUUAUAAAAUCACAAGAAUUUUUUUUUUUGACUAAUCCUGGUUCUCUUUCAGAAUUGGAGAUAGUUUAGGGGGUUUAAAGUGAUAACCAAAAGAGAAGGCAACUUAGUUCAAAGAAUCUAUCAAUUUCAUUUUUAAUGGUAAUAAGAGUUCACAAAUCGACAAUUAUGCCGAACUUCCCCUUCAAUACCAGUAAGAACAUUAAUAUUCCCCAUCUUAAUAAUUGACUCAGUAUAAUGCUGAAAAAACAGUUCUUGAUCUUCUGCAUAAGCCCACACCAGACUCAGCACGCUUUCCUCGGCGUCCUCCUCGGACGCGAGCGCGUUGUCGCUGUGCAACAGCCCCUCUCCGCGAAGCAGGUUUAUGUAGUACAAGUUGUCGAACCGCCGCGAGGUCCUCGAGUCGAGGGGGACGACCUUGUCGUCCCCUCCCGACUCCGGGCAUAUUGAUCGGAGGAUGUGGAAGAAAAUCGAGCGUCUUUCGUCGUAUUCUUCGUUCAAGGGCAGGCCGUAUAUUCGGUCCUUGAAGCUUACGCACCGCGAUCUUCCGAUCGUGUGGCUACCUGCAGGUGACAAAGUUUCAAGGAGGUUACACUUGGGAACUGUUUUAGUUGCACAUAGUUAUGUAUGCAGCUCCAACUUCAGUGUUUAUUUUGAUGCAUUUCAAUUCAACUGCUGUAGUUGCGACUACACGAGAUAGUUCAACUGCAGCAGUCGGAACUCUGAACUAGGGAUGUCAAUGGGUAUGGAUAUCCGAAAUUUUAUUCGAACCCGAAUCCGAAUGAAACGGAUAUGUCCGAUGGAUAUGGAUAUGGAUAUAAAAAAUAAAAACCUGACGGAUAUGGAUUCGGAUAUGGAUUUUGAUUGUACCCGACCCGAACCCGAACCCGACCCGAACCCGAAUUUAUUUUGUAUUAUAUAUAAUAUAUAUAUAUAAAAAUUUGAUGUUAUAUUUGAAUUUGUAUUUUAAAAUUUUAAAUUUAAUAUAAUAUAUUUUGAAAUAUUGAAAAAAGAAAUAAUUGUUUCGGGUUCAAAUUUUCAAGUUCGGGUUCGGGUUUCGGAUUUUUGGUCGGGUUCGGGUUUGGAUAUGGAUUUUUAAAAUCCGUCGGGUUCGGGUUCGGAUUCGGGUCUUGGGUUUGGAGUCGGGUUCGGGUUUGGAUUUUUAAAAAUCCGCCCCGAAUCCGACCCGUUGACGUCGAAUUUUUUUUAUAAAUAAUCCUAUCAAUUUUUAUAAUUGUAAAAAUAAUUUUUUUAAAAAAUAGUUAUAAAAAUAAACCUCUAAAUACGGUGAAUAAUACACCGCAUUCAUAACUUCUCAUUAGAAGUAGAAAAAGAAUAAAAGCGGUGAAUGGUUCACCGCUUUUAUCAUCGUAGAAAUAUAGAAAGAAGUGAGAAAAAAAAAGAAAGCGGUGAAUGGUUCACCGCUUUUAAAAGCGGUGAAUCAUUCACCGUUUUUAUAAGACUAUAUUUACAAAUAAAUAUUUAACAGGCCUAUUUUUAAAAUAAAAUUUUAGAAAAAGACUAUUGCACUAAAAAACCCGUUGACGUCUCUACUCUGAACUAUGCCCAAAUUGGCCGUAAUUCCAACUACAUCACUCGGAGAAAGUAAUUUUAAACAAUCAAAGAGUAAUAGUCAACGGAGUUGUUAACUUCCAAAGAACCCCUUACAAAGCUGAUGAAACAACGCUAAGUGAAAUGAAUAAAAGCUGAGAGUACGUCAAUCAAUAAAUAAAAGUUGGGCAGUCUAUUUCAAAAUGGCAGGUCUCCCUACAAUUUUAUCUGAACAGUAAUGCGGUAUUAGUAGUAAUCUGAUUCACAGGAAUCAAAUUCAUGAUUAUGUUGAAAUAACUAGGAAAAAUGCAUAGCACAAAUUAAACGCGCACUUCGUAUCAUGAGAAUACAGAUCUACUGGUUUUUCGAGCACUCCUAUAAUAAGAUGCAUGUUUGAAAUAGGUAAAAUUUUAGACAAAAGAAAAAAAGGGGUAAAUUUUACCUGAGAGGCUAACCAAGUCAACAAUGUCAAGGCCAUGAUCUUUGAAAUUGGAGAUGAGCAUCUCAAGGGAAGAGUUUGGUGCAGGUAUCAUCUGAUUUGUAGUACUAAUACUCGCCGCCUUCAAAGAGUCCUUCCUCCCCAAGUACACAUCCCAAGUUGGACCACCUCUCUAUUGAAAAAAAGGAGAGCAAACGUUUUAGGGUUAAUUAGCGCCCAUAAUUAGAACACUCAAUUCCUAUGAUAAAAGGUUCAGAUUAAAAUUUAAGAUCAAGGUUCAAUAAAUGAGGCUGCUCAACAGGGUGUGGUCAAGCCCCAGAGAAUACUUUAUUAUCACUAAAACUAAUACAUAAUGAAUGAAUAAACUAACUUUAUGGUGGGGGUCGGUUGUCCACCAAACAUUAUAAUAAGAUAUAUCAUGUUGGCAUAAGUCAAAACAUAGUAGAAUAAUAAUGGUUAGAAGGAAACAAUGGUCUACUGUUGAGCAACCAUCAAAUCACCCUCAUCCCUGUGUAUUUGAAAACCUUGGUUGUUAAAAGUAGUUAAAAAAAAUAAUAUAAAAAAAGGAAAGGGAACGUUUUAGAUUUAAUUAGCGCUGAUAAUUAGAACAAUCAAUUUCUAUGAUAAAAGGUUCAGAUUAAAAUUUAAGAUCAAGGUUCAAUAAAUGAGGCCGCACAACAGGGUGUGGUCAAGCCCCAGAGAAUAGUUUAUCACUAAAACUAAUACAUAAUGAAUGAAUAAACUAACUUUAUGGUGCGGGUCGGUUGUCCACUAAACCUUAUAAUAAGAUAUAUCAUGUUGGCACAAGUCUAAACAUAGUAGAAUAAAAAUGGUUAGAAGUAAACAAUGGUUUACUGUUGAGUAACUGUCAAAUCACCCUCAUCCCUGUGUAUUUGAAAACCUUGGGUUGUUAUAAGUAGUUAAAAAAUUAUUAUUUUAUUUGUCAGUAGUUGUAGCAUAAUUGGUAGAGACAUGAUCCUCCUCGAAGGUGGCCAUAGUUUGGCUUCACAUAUGAUUCUAGCAUAUUGUGACUAGUAAUAGGUCCUUAAUUGGCAUGCAAAAAAAGAAAAUAAAUAACUAAUUUUAGGAAUUGGAAAAUAAAUAACUAAUUUUAGGAAUUGGUAUUUUUGGUAUUUUUAUUUUUUUAAGAAAAUGAAUUUCAUGCAAACAAAUAAUCCAUGCAAUAUGGUUGAGGGAGGAUUACAUGAUGGAGGUGGCCAAGGUAGCGGGAGGAGACACAAGAUGCAUACAUGUGACUUCAAAAAAGGUAAUUUAGUUUACCAAAUGGAAACAUAGGUUAUGGAUUCUCACAUAACUAGAAUAUAAAAUCACUCGGGCAUCUAUUGUACUGUCAUUGUCAUCAAGAAUGCCACCAACCAGAUGCCCCACAAGAAAAACCGCAACUCUUUUUAUGUAGAACUUAAAUCAAAAGCACUUUAGAUAUAACAGUAGGGAUAACUUAUUAGCACAAGUUUUCUCGUUAAAGAAAUAUGAGAUUUCUUAUAAAGGCUAAAACCGUUCCAUGAAAAUCUCGCCUCUAGCCGCAAUGUGAAAUUAACAUCAAAUUAGCAUUUCCAGAAUAUGAUAUGUAAACAAAGAUUACCAACUUAUCUAAAAAGUUUUAUGGAUAACACUAACCAGAUGAACUGCAUCCCUUGCGGCGAUUGCUAGAAUGUCGGCACAAGACACUGUUAAUGGGCACGCCUCCUCCAACAAAGCCUUUAUAAAAUCAAUCACCUCAAACCCUCGCAACGAGUUCUUAUUCGGGACAGCGUUCUUCUCGCUGACUAUACCGUCUGCAUCAUCAAGAAGGACCGAUGCAUCGCACCCCUGCAAGAGGCAAAAAGCACUUUCCGUAAUCAGCUCUAAAGUCUAAACACAAACUGUAAUAGUCCGAACCAGCCUACUUAGUAUAAUCAGCUUGAUGAAAUGGUCUUUUAACCAUAUGAGGUCUGAAUGCUCAAGCUUACUUUGCUGUGCCGCUUUGCCUAACUUCUUCUUUUGCUUUUAGCUACAGGAAUCUCGAGUAGCGUGUUUGCAAACUGAAAAGUUUGGAGAUCCUAUCGGGCAGCAAGAUGAAAAACGAUACUAAGCCCUAAAAGCAGAAGCUCCAACUAGAGCUUACCAUUCUGGCGAUUUAACAUAGCACGUCUCUUGCUAAAGCUACACAAAAAGUACUUCACCAAAGAUUAUUAUACAAUACAGGAGGGCCAAAGAGGCCCUACGACUGGUGUUCUAAUCUUUAUAAAUAUAAGGUGCAUGAUAAAAACUGCUGACACGAUGAAUGACAGACUCAUAAUAUGAAAAGGAGACGGACCAGAACAAAGCAAUCGUGGAAGUGAAGGCGGAGGAGGCCGGCGGCAAUGCGCGGAUCCUGAUACAGCGCUCCCUCGACAGUAUGCCUCACAAUUUCCUCUGCGAGGGGGCAUGACUCCAGGUAGUAGUAUGGGGACAGCACACCAUCAGCUCCAGCUAAGCUCAGAAUAGCUAGUAGCAAGAAAAUGAGUAGAAAUUUAGCCAUAGGAUAGACUUAAAAGGAUAAAAUCAAUGACAAGACAAAAGGGGGAGGUUUGGUUAUAUAGUGCAAUACCCACAAUAUCCUUUCAAAGCAAGUUAUAGAUGACUCAAAUCAGGCCCCAGCGACUUGCCAACAAAGAGUGGGUCUGAGAGGAUAUACCAACUCCAACCACAUCUUUAACAUAUAUUAUGUUAUUCCAGUUGUGUAUAUUAUGUUAUUCCACUGGUGCCUUCGCAUGGUACAGGAAUUUGUGAAGUGACAAGGGAAUGGGUGAAUCAGUGUUGGUCAAGACACAUUAAGUUUUACCCUUAUAUUAAUGUCAAAUUAGAUUGAAUUAUCCAAUAGCUUUUAUAGAUAGGAGGAUGAACUACUAUUUUAGUCUAAUGCAAUCUAUAGCUUUAAAUCAGAUAAAUAAUUGACAGUAAGAAGAGUCAUGAUUAAUAUAUAUAUCCAUCUAAUGAUGUAAGGAGGAUAACUACUUGCUCGAUUAACUAUAAAUUAAGUCGUGCUACUUAUCUAAUAUACCAUUGUGAUAUGAAAAACAACCACUCUAUUGUCCUGUGUAGUCAAACUCUAGCUCAAUAUAGCCAAAACCAGGCCAGAUACGCCCGUAGAACCUGAUGUUACCUGAACCAGCCUCUUUACCAGCUCAGUUUUUGUUGAACCUAACAUAUUUUUGACAACUUGUUAAGCAGAACACUUCUAACAUCCAAGUCAAACCUUCCAGUUAACUGACAAUUUUAGUCAAUAUAUAUGGGUAUUAUAUUGCAAACAAGCAACUCUUUUCAAGAUAUUCGAAUAAGGACAGACCGGGAGAGGGAACAUAUUUCUUUUCCAGUGCCUAAUUCUACCCUUUGCUGCUGGUCCUUUUCCCAUUUAAUGCAAAUCUAUCAAAACAUUUACCUGAGAUUCAACAUUAGCAAGCCUACAAGAUCUGAGAAGACACUAAGCAAUUCAAAAUGUGGUGUAACAAAAUAAUAUUCUGAGAUUCCAGGUGUAACAAAAUAAUAUUCUGAGAUUCAAUAAUCAAUGUUUUCACAUAAUCCGCUUAUAAAUACUGUUCUUUCCUUCCUUUACAAAGAAAUACAACAAGACUUUUUACAUUUUUUUUUUUAUACAUUUCAAGUCAAAAAUGAAUGCUAUACAGAGUCAAUAGCAGUGAACAAGACAAGAAGACCAGGUAGACAAUCAUUCUUCUUGUUUGGUCUUUAACAUGUAUGUAAGUCUUUGGUGUAGUAUGGUUGAGUGAGUUCGCUUGAUCUUUACAAUUUACAAGUCCCAUAGAUUCAUCACCAUUAACAAUAUUUACUGUAGCUAAAAACCCAUGUUAGAGCUGAAGCAAAACUCUCUGCCGAGGUAAUUAAGAGGCUUACCAGUGUCUGAAUCACACACAUGGGCCUCUGUCAAAAAAGUUGCCCCCUGCAUCAGAAGUUGGGGCUAUGUUAAUGUUACACAUGAAAAAGAGUUGUAACAGUUAGAAAUUUUAAUACCUUAGAUAGUUCCUAAUCAGAAGGCAUCUAAAAAGGGUCUAAGACAACAAAAGAAUUUUAAUUCAGGCUGCAAUACAUUUCUCAAACUGCUCAAGUGCUGUCAGAAUUAUGGAGAAUCUCCAACUCCUGAAGACUCUGUGGGCGCUUGAGAGAGAGAGAGAGAGAGAGAGAGAGAGAGAGAGAGAGAGGAGUGGUGGUGCAGCGACAGGAGGGCAGGGGUUAGUAACCAGACCAAGAACAUACGAACUAUUCUGACCGACAUAAUUAUGAAAUCUGCUACUUCGUCGCUGAAUAAGAAAAACUUAGCCUUGUAUCUGUUAUUUGUUGUCUUUAACCCAUUUGUUUAAUAAUUAAAACUUUAUGGACUUCACAAUAAACCUUCGUAGGAUGCAAUCCUAUUUGUGAAGUUUACUACUUACAGUCUCCCAAAUCACAACUCUUAUUCAACUAAAAUUAUAGCUCAAUAGUAUGAUUAUCUGAAAGAUGGCCUCAUAUAUCCAUUAAGAAAGUUGUGUAUACCAUUUCUUAAAUCAGAUUAAUAAGUGAUAAUGAUAUGCACACACACAAAAAAAAGAGGUUAGAUAAUAGAGACAAAGUAUUAACCUACAGGACAGAGCAUGCUAAAAAAAUGGGAACUUACUAGAAGUGUGGAGAAAAGAUUCAAAGACUUGGGUUCCACUCAGUUUAAUGUCAGAGAUGCUCUAUGGUACUCAUCUUCCUUCUUUGUUUCUCCCUUUGAUGUCAACUCUACUGAGAUUGAACAAAAGCAACCAGGUCAGCUAGUAAAACUUCUGACAAAAGAAAACUGAUUAAUAUACUAUGUCAAAUAAUGGUUGGUCAAGAGGACUAAAAUCAACUCUAUUCAUUGUUACAAUAAUUGCAUAUAUUCUCCACCAACAAUAACUAAUCUUUUCUGACGACUGAUUAAUUAAGCUUGUAAAUGUAACAUAAUAGUCUAGCUGUAUCAAUCAUGCCCUACCUUUGGAAGUUGCAGGUAAUAUGAAUCAAGAACCUGUAUGCCCCACAAGAAGAUAGAACUCUGCGUGAAAUAUUUAUUAUAAGGGUUAUAUAUAUAUAAUACAGAAUUGGGCUGGAAUACUAUUAAUAGUAUUUGGACUCUUUUGCUAUCGAGUUUUUAACCCUUGGAUAAAAAAUUGUAGGAUUAGGAAUGAUAGUGGUCCCCUAGGGUUUAGUGGUGGUCCCCCUAAGGUUGAGUGGAUGGUUGGUUGAAUAGUAUGAUUUAAACGGUGGAAUUAAUUAAAGUGUAGAUCUAACGGCUAAAAAAUUGAUAGCAAAAGAUCCCAAAUAUUAUUAAUAGUAUUCUAGCUCAACUCUCUCUCUCUCUCUCUCUCUCUCUCUCUCUCUCUCUCUCUCUCUCUCUCUAUAUAUAUAUAUAUCAACCUGCAAAAUCAUCUCUAUAAUGUAUACGUGUUGUUCCAAGUCUGAAUUUUCACAUAUACCCCUCAACACUGCAGUUUCUUUUAAAAUAUCCUUAAGUUAGCAGUCAUCCGAGCAUGAGGUGAUAGGUGAUGUUGGUUUUCUACAUGGAAAAAUUAUUUCAAAGGGGGGCUUUUUGUAGCCACAAGGGUAUAAAUGUAUAAAAACUUUAAGGGUUUGGGAGGGAUGAUGUGUGUGUGUGUGUGUGAACUGUGAAGAGAUGAUUUUGAAGGGAUUAAAUAGUAAGGAAUGCAAGAAAAGCUGCUUACCAUCAAAAUGUCAGAGGUACAUCCCCUUCUUCUCCAGUUUGUGAUUUGUUUAUCAAAAAAGAAAUCAAUGAUCAUCAGCAGUAAGGACUCAAAAGGUCAUCCGAGAGAAAAGGACCUGUUAAAGAAAUGGAUGUUUCACACAUCUAACAUCAAUUAUCAAGAAGCCAACAAACUUUAGAGUGCAUGAAAGCAGAGAUAUCAGAAAAUUCAUAUACAAAAUAUAUUCUUCAAAUGAUUGUAGCUUCUGUCCAAUAUAUCCUUAUGUUGGAAGUCAUUAAAUUCACGAGGUGGAGUUGGUUUUCUAGUAGAAAAAGUUUUCUACAGGAGGGUAACUUCUGUAAGAACAGGAAUAUAUAUUGAAAAAAGAAUUAAAUUUUUGAACAACAUCUAAGAAAAUUCAGAUUUCACUUAGCUAUAUAUCUAUAUAAAUAAUAUUGAAGGGUUUAUACAACUUUAAGGAAACCUCUAAAAUAUGCAUACAUCGUUCUUUACCUUCUCCAGAAUACUAGAACAUCCAUCGUCAACACCUCUUUUAGCCUGAUACGGGUCUUAGUUCAUCAUUUAUUUUACCAGGAAGAUCAGGUAAAGCAUUCAAGCUACUAUCAAUCCGUAGCUCAAUCCAACCAAGUCUCCUCUCAAGUUUGAGUACGCCAAGAUGCAUUAUCCGAACAUCAACCUGAGCGAGCUUUGCAAAAGAUCGCAGUAAAAUGUAAUAAUCAGCAUGUGCAACAUAAAUAAGCCUUCCAUCUACUUUCUUCCUCUUGUAGUGAAGAUAACCCUCAGUCCUCUUUUGAGCCCUUGGGGGCAGAUAGUGAAACCCAUUCUCUUCCAUUUCUUGUUUCAUCCUUUCUAUUGCAAAACUCUUUGAACAGGUAAACCUCCCACUAGAGUUCCUGUGUGGUCUCUUUAAAUCAAAGAAUUCAGUUGCAGGUGCUUCAUUGCUGGAUCUCUUUCCUUUCAAACAAGAAAAUUCAGCCUUUACGUCAUCUUGCUGAUUAUCAUCCUGUAAUUAGAAGGUUAAACUAGUUACCGCAUAAAUUAAUCAUUUAAUUGCAUUAGUUCUCAAUAUUAAAGCAGAUUGCCGAACUUGUAGUAAUAGACAUCCUUAGAAACCAAAGAUAGGACGGCGUGCAGACCAUUCCCAUGAAAGGCAUAAGAAAAGGAUGUUGCUAUUACCUCUUUCUUACUAUAUAUAUCCCACAAUCUUUCUAUUAGUGUCUCCUCAUCAUAAGAUGUUGUUAUUCCAGUAAAUGCGACAUCCUUGCAAUACUUGAGAUAAGAUGGCAAGUCUUUUGCAUAGUCUACAGCAAAAAGGCUAAAAAAAUCAGGAGAUAUAAUGUGUGGAUAGCAAGUAUAAGAGCAUUAAAUCUCACUAUGACAACCGAAGCUGCUUAGUUCAAUCAUCAGAAUUUUUGUAUCCCUAUCUAAAUAACUUUAUUUAGUUAUAUUGCAUAUAGUCUGCAAUUAGAUUGAUUAAUUUUUCAAGAGUACUUACAACAUCAUCGAUUUGGAAAUAUCACAAAACACUCACUUCUUUUUAGCAGCAAUAUCUUGAAUUGCUUUGAAGCAAUACAUCAGAUGACUCAUAUAACUUGAACAAGCACUAGUCUCUACUUGGGUACACUAUGAACCUUUAUCAAAUAUGAAAAUUUGGCACUGAAAUGUAAUAGAAAAAACAACAUUUGAGUGAUUUACAGUAUACUUACCAUGUCUAACGUUUAUCUUGCCAUAUGCAGCUUCAAGAAUGCUCAACAACUCUUUAGUUUCAAACUCAGAAGUUUUAUUAUCCAUCAAGUUCUUUACUGUUGAUGAAUUUGUAGUCGAUUGACAUGCUCUAGAACCCUGAUCUGCCACUCCAAGCUUUUGUCUAGAGCUCGAAUUUGAUUCAUCCACAUUUUCUUCAAAUUGAUGGCCACAUGAAAGAGAAUCAGCAAUAUCUGAUAAACCCAUUUCCCAAGUCCCUUGACCAUGUAUAUUGUACAAUAUUCGUAGUGUUACUAUUAAUAUUGACAUCACACAAACGCGAGUUGGAAGCCUAGAUGCAUUACUGGACAACCAUAAUUCUGCAGGUAAUGACCAUUCAUAAAGGCGGCAGGCAUGCUGAAGAAUUUUCUCCACCGGAAGAGACAGUUCAUGCAAGUAGCGGCGGGCAAUUGCAUAAAAGUUUACUGAAGGGAGACGUAGGCCAAUAGCUUGUGAAAUCGAAGCGGCUGUUUCUUCUAACUGCCAAGGUCCGACAACCCUAAUGGGCCUGAAUAGAAACCUAGUACUCAAUGGACAAUCACUUGAUGGAGUUCCAAGAUACUUAUCCAAUUCAACAAAGGCAGUAAGGUAAGGAAGCUUUCCCUCUAUCGCCCAUUGAUAAAUAUCGGUUGGUAGCACUGCCUCACGUGCAAUAUGGCAAACCAGAAAACAAAUAGCCAGUGAGGAAUAUAUAGGUAUGGUCUUUCUCAAUGCACGAAAGAAAAUAUAAAUCACUCGCCGUCCAUACGAAUCAUGGGGUUCCGACCUGUAUUUCGCUCUGAUGUGCCUAGAAGGUUUUCGUCGGUCUUCUGCAGCCGAAAGUAAUAAGUCAAUUUUAAAUUACUAGCCCUUAGAUAACAACCAUAAAGUAAAGCACUUCUAAAAUGUUAGGAUGCUGGAUAUCCAAUUCUAUAGUUAGUUUAGGGAAUAGCAGUGCAAUUCACUCUUUCUUUUUCUUUCUUCAUAAAAGAACUCGCACCCAAAUAUCUCAAAUAGGAGAAAAAUUCCACCUUGUUCACAGUUCUAAAUUUUGGGAUGUUGAAUGGCCAAUUUAAUAGUUAGUCUAGGGACUAGUUAAGCAAUUCACCCUCCCUUUUUCUUUGUUAAUAAGAGAAGUAAAAUAUCUCAAAUUCGAGCAAAAUUUUACCUUGUUCGCCAUGCCAAAAUUUCGGAAUGUUCAAUCUCCAAUUUAAUAGUUAACUUAGGGACUAGUAGAGACUAGUAGACCAAUUCACCCUUUCUUGUUCUUUCUUUACAAGCAGCCCCAAAACAUCCCGAGCUCGAGCGAAAUUUCACGUUAUCCGCCAUUCUAAAAUUUUGGGAUGUUGAAUCUCCAAUUUAAUAGUUAGCUUAUAGGGACUAGUAGUGCAAUUCACCCUUCUUUUUUUUUUCUUUGCUCUAUAGAUUAGUAUCAAAAUAUCAUAAGUAUGAGCAAAAUUCUCACCUUGUUUAUCAUCCCGCGAAGGGGUGGCGGCCGCGGCAGCCUUGGACUCGGUGAUCACCUUCCGCGCCCACCCCUUGUCGAGCACCUGAGACGCUGCGACGUAGCGGAGCCAUAUGGUCCCCGCGAGCCCGCAGAUCAGCGGGCCGACUCCGAACUGCUCCACGAGGGCCUCACACUGGCGCUGCAGCAUCACCUGCAACCCCUGCACGUACCGCGCCCGGAUCGCCGCACCCGCCGCCUCCGCGUCGGCGCCCAGCCCCGGCCCCGCCCCUCUCUCUCUCUCUCUCUCUCUCUCUCUCUCUCUCUCUAAAAACAUGAGCUCCCCCGAAGUCCCUCGGCUCCUCUCCUUCCUCCUCCUCGAACGCGUACGGCCUCUCCCCUUCCCCCUUUCCCCCUCUCUCCUCCUCCUCCUCGUCGCCGCUCUUCAGGGAGGCGACGGAUCGGGCGAGGGAGCGGAGGAUAUCUUCGCGGGAGAGCUUGGGGGCGGAGGGGGUGGCGGCGGCGGCGGAGGGGCGGGAGCGGUGGUGGAAGAAGCUGUAGAGGGCGCCGCGGCCGGAGCCGUCGCCGACGACGUCCUCGUCGGCGCAGCCCGUGUCAACGACGUCCUGGCUCUGGGAUCCGCAGUGGCGGCAGUAGUAGAAGCCGUCGUCGCCGCCGUCGAACUCCGACGCGCCGCACCCGUCGCAAUGGAGGACGCGGCGCUCCCCCGCCGCAGCCGCCGCCGCCAUGGGAGCCGCGGCGGAGGAGGGGAACGGGGAGCUCCAUGGAGGGUUCGCCAUGGGAGGACGCGGAGAAGAAGAAGACGACGACGACGACGACGAAGAAGGGUUUAUUGGGGCCGCUUUUGUUAAACCGGACCGGUUUGACGAACCGGUCCGGGUCAAAGAAACAGCUCGGUUUAUUCCUGUUCAAGAUAUUGAUUGGGAAUUUGGAAUAGGAAGAAUUGUUUGCUUUUGGUGAAAAUUGUAUAAAGACCCCUCUACUGUAGAAAUUCCCUCUACUGUAGAAAUUUUGAAAUAAACCCUUGCUACAAUAUGGUUAAAAUUAUCAAAUGUAAUAAAAUUAUUGACGAAUUUUAAUUUAUUUAUUAAAAUGUACCCUUUUCAAAAAAAUCAAAGGCCAAGAGUGUCUCCAUUAAGUUGAAGGGGGUAUUUGAGAAUGACGAAUAGUUGAGGGGUCUCCAUAAAUUCUUUUUUGCCAAAAUAAAAGUUGAGUUUUCAUUCCAAAUAUCCUAUAGUUGAAGGGUCUCCGUACAAUUUUACCAUAUUGCGUAGCAAUUUCUAGUACAUCACCUUCUCCAAAUAUCUACUUGCGUUUUUUUAACAACCAAAAAAAAAAAAAAAAAAAACUCUACCAUUUUUUUUGUUCUUUGCGUUAGAUUCUUUGGAGAUUCGUACGACGAAACCCUAGUUUCGUGAUCGAGAAGUACUGCGUGGAUCCUCGUGUUUCGCUGCUAUGGUACGUGAAUCCUUCGCGCAGAUCGUCCUUAAUCAUCGAGGGUUUCGGAUGCUUGUUGUGUUUCCCCAAACUUUUCGUGAAUUUGUGAUUAUAUGAUGAGUUUAGAGCGUUUCGGUAUGAAUUGGCACUGAGAAUUGCGGGGUCUGAUCGAUUUUGACAUGGAUUUUGGUAAAUUUUUGCUUGGAUGCUAGAUGUAUGUUAGUUUUGUUGGUAGGAAGAGGAUCUUACCUUGUUCUUACUGGGAUUCAAUAAAAUUAAAGUUUCGGAUCACGUAUAAAGAUGUAAACAAACAAGUUAGAUUAUUUAUAUGGUGGAAUUUGACUCGAUAUGAACCAGCAUUAACAAUUGGGGUAUUUGUUCAUUUUUUAUGUGGAUUUGAUUUGGUAUAUAGCAUUGGUAGAGAAUGUUGGUUAAUUUUUGCUUGGAAUGCUCUACACUUUAUAAAUGUUGUUAAUACUCUAUACAUGUUAAUUUUUGCUCAGAAUAUAUGUUCAUCUUGUUAAAGGAAGAAAAUGUUACUACUUGUGAUUCAUUGAAAGAAAACUUUUUUUUUUUUUUUUUUUUUUUUUUUUUUUUUUUUUUUGGUCGAAAGAGCCAACAGGCUAAUUUAUUAAAAGCAAAAACCGAUUACACUUUGCGCAAAAAGACUCUACCUGCAGAGUCUUCAAAAAGUAUCCUAACAAAGUUUAUGGGAAGGUCACUGGUAGGAUCAAAAACCAGUUUACUUCUUGAAUUAAGCGCAUGACUUGCUAAAUAAUCAGCGGCCCUAUUGGCUUCACGAUAUAUUUUAACAAAAAUACACUGCUGCAAAUGCUUCGCCAGAGAUGUGCAUCGGUCAAUGAUAUUUUGGAGUCGCCAAGGAGGUUCAAUCUGUGAACUAACAUAAGAGAACAAGUUUUGAGAGUCUAUGGUGGAAUUGGGGCAUUAAGAAUUGAGAAUUUGAUCAUUUGUGAUCUGGAUUUGAUUUGGUAUACAACAUUGGUAGAGAAUAUUUAUCAUCCAAAUGCUGCCUAUCAUAGUAUGAUCCAUACUUAGCCGAGUAAUUAGAUGGCCUUUUAAAGCUUAAUAUACUAACUAAUACAUAAUCCUAGGUUCCAUUUGGCCCAACUAAAGCUUACGCUGAAGUAACUACUCGAGUAGAACUGUUUGGAGAAGCACUAAUAGCGUUUUCCAUUGUAAUCUUUUCACUGCAGCAAAGAAGAAGUUUCAAAUUAGAGUUUAUAUUUAUUGGGCCUAAAGGGUCAAUUUAGGUUCCCGUGAGAGAGAAAGCUCUAGAAUCCUUGUUUGCUAAAUGCUCUUUUGCUUUCUGAAGUAGAUAAGCUGCUCUAAUAGCAAGCUCAUCUAAAGGUUCCAAGUCCUCUGAUUUAACAAUCUCAGGUAAAAUCUCUCGGAUUGGGCUCUUUGUGCCUUGUGUAGGAUAGCAUGCUAGUGAAGUAUUAUGGUGUAACAGCAUAGUAGCAUACUGCUUCAGUUAGAAGGCAAAAACCUAUUGGACUAACUUAUUAACUACAAUGGUUAUUGUUCUAAAUGCUGAGCAGUUAAACAAGAAAAAAGGAGCUAGGUUAAAGUAAAAAUGUCGUGCAGAUAUAGGAUUUAGUUGAAAAAAGAAGAAAAAAGAAAUAGCACACGUGUUAAGUAGGAUCAUCAUCAUCAUGAAUUAACUGCAGUAAGAUGGUUUGAUAUUUAUCCUCUAUUGAUAGUAGCAAGAAGUCCACUUGAAAAGUGAAUCAGAAUGCAAUCAAAGUCACCCUUAACUAGGGAGCAAUUUUUAGGUCUAAGGAGGACCUUAUUGUCCUUGAUUGAUGAAUUUUCUAUCAAAAAUUGAUGGAUCUAUUACUUAGAGCCUAGGUUUUGAUGCAUACAGUAUAUCCUUCCCUUAAUCUUUGAUAUAUUGCAUAGUACGGCUUGUCAAAGGAACGUACUGAUUCCAUAUAGUACAUCCGUUCGUCAUUGUUCUCCUACAAAAUCCAGAAUCAGUAUUUUAACUGAAAUUUAUUUACUAUUGAACCUUUCAGCCUUUAUGUAUAGUUUUUGGUGCUUACCUUGCAUAAUCUAUUUGUUACAAGAUUGAAUCAUGUCAAAUGUUCUCGGAACAUUAGUAAAAGCACAUCCUUUUGCAGUGAUCAGGGAUGGUACAUGGAAUGAUAUAUAUAUAUAUAUAGAGAGAGAGAGAGAGAGAGAGAGUUGAGCUAGAAUACUCUCAAAAGCAUCAAGGGGGUGGUGCUUUUGAGUUUUUAACCAUUGGAUUGGGAGAUGUGGGGUUGAGAUGAUGGUGGCAGGUGGUGGUAGAUGGUGGUAGGUGGAAUAGUAUUUGAUCCAAGGGGUAUUAGUAAUUAAGGAGUAUAUCCAAGGGCUAGAAACUUAAAAGCACCAAGGUGUUGGUACUUCUAAAAGUAUUCUAGCUCAAUUCUAUAUAUAUAUAUAUAUAUAUAUAUAUAAACCUUAUACAUUCAGCUCUCAUAAUAUUUUGGUAGGUACAGACCACACGGCAGGACACAUUUAUUCCGACCUAUAUGUUUGUAAUAGGAAAAUAAUUUUCUAAUGACUUUAUUUGUCCAUACUCGUCCUUUUGUUAUGAUGCUCUGGGAAACUGAUUGAGCAUUUAUAUGCCAGGCUUUAGCCUGUUGAUCUAUUUGACGUGCAAAUUUGACGCUUUAGUGGAAGAUCAUAUAAGCAAACAAUGGGGCGUCUAUCACGGAGUAUGGCUGUUUGUUUGCACAGCGGGAAACUCGCCCUUCUGGCAAUUCUGGUCUCUGGUGGGAUUGUAUUGCAAAUCUUGGUCCGUACAUCCCUGUUCUCAGUCUCAGCUUUCUAUUGCUGAUUAUAGAAACAUUGAUCGUUAUAACUUACCGUUUCUUAUUUCAGGCUUGUGCUUUAUACAAUAACUGGUGGCCAAUGCUAACAGGUGAUUCAUUUACUUUUUUUCCCUUUUUUUUUCCUGGCAAAGUUCCUGUUUAUUCUAAACAGAAGUAAAAGUUUUACUAAUAAUGGUGCGUUGAUCUUGUCACAGUAUUGAUGUACUUGAUUCUUCCCAUGCCCUUGAUGUUCUUUGUUGGCUCAGACAGUUCCUCAAUAAUGUCUAGUGGCGGCGACGGGUUAGUACUUCAUUUUCCCAGAUCUCUUUUCAUAUUAAGGAUCUUUUUGUCUUGCUUGGUGUGCUUUUGAACAUUUGCUGUUCGGAGAACCUCUAACUGCUUUUUUUUUCACUAGAAUCAGUUUCUCACUUUCUGCAAAUACUCCGGCAUCUACUUUUUUUUAUUAGCGAAGCUGUCUAAGAAGGCAGGUCAAAUAGAAACCAAGGCUGAGCAAAUUUUAGCAAUUUUAUCUGCGAUUUUGACCUUGAUUUGAAAUUCUAAUUUCAUCCUCACAUAUUCAAUUAUGACAUUCCAGUUCCUGACGUUUCUUUUGCAUAACAAUUAUGAGCCCUUUUGUCAUAGACUGUCUUAAAAAGAUGCCACGGUGGCAGCACCGUCGCUAGACUUUGCUUAAUUAAUAUUGGAACUUUGCGAAUGAAUCUGAAGGGGUCAAACUUUGGGGUUAUAAAUGUUAAAAGCCAAACUGCGGGGAUGAAAUUUUUGUAAUAUCAAACCUCAGGGACUAAAUUCGCACAGUGUGAGCUUCGAAGGACGAUUCAAUCAGGGUCAAACUCCAGGGCUACACUUACUUAUCAACCAAGGAUUUAAGUGCCGUGGUACGGGAUCGUGCCUGAAACUUGCCGGCACGGUGCAUGCCGAGCCGUGCCGAUGCGUGCAAGUCAAAAAAAUUAUCGUGUGCCGACAUAUAAUAGCAUGAAAUAUUUAUUUUCUUUAGCAACAAAAUAUUCUAACUAUUUAUUAUGUCUUUUUAUCACAUCUUUUGAACUUUAUUGAGGAAAUUACUUACUAAUUUAAAGAAUAGAGAGUUUUGAGCUGUGUCAUCGGCACGAGAUCUGUAUCGUGCCGGUAUCUUGUUGGCACGGUACGGCACGGUGAAUACCGCCCAUGCCGACGGGCAUUUAAAACCUUGUUAUCAACCCUUCAAAUUUAUUGUGCUAAUUCAUGCGUAUCUUUCGUGCGAUGUUAUGUUUUACCAGAUGGGUGAACUUCACAAAGUUCUUGACGGGGGCCUCGGUGGUGGGGAGCAUCGCGAUCCCCUCCAUCCUAAAGCACGCAGGUAUCAUCGGAUGGGGGGCGCUGUCGAUGGAGCUCUCGUCUUUCGUGGUCUUCGGCGUGGCGAUACUGUGGCUCCUUCAGACGAACCGCGAAGAAGAGUACAGCAUGUUCUGAGCUGUAGGUUUCCCACGGUUCACGUUCCAUCACGCACCAUUCUCGAUACCUUCUAUGCUGCAAUCUUUUUUUUUCUUUCUUUUAACUCGAUGAUUCUGCUGUAGCUGCCCGAUGUACAUAUCUGAAUUGUUGAUAUUUGCUGCAUACGAGGACCUCAUUGAUGUACUUUUAGAAAUAUUGUUCGCAGGCAAAUUCUAAAUGCGUUGUGGUGACACUUGCGUUGAUAAAGAGAGUGUUUCUUUUGUCUUUGUUUGUUUUUGUGUAGAAGCUAUCGGAAUAUUUACGGACUCUUCUAUACGAGUAAUCCAACAUAUUUUUUUUCUUUUUGCAAUAAGUAGAUAUGCAUGCUGUUGAAAAUGUAGUGGGUAGAUGUGUAUUAAAUAUUUUGGACAAUUUGUAGUUGAGAUUGUGUUGCAACUACAAAAACUUUUGGUUGCUUGCAAUUGGAAGUUGCGUUUGCAAAUUAUGGUAUUUAAAAGGAUAAAUGGUGAGAUUAUCCUUCAAAAGAUUCUUUUUAUUUUAUUUAAAAGAUAAGAGGAUAGUAAAGUAUCAAAGAGUUUCUUCUUUCUUCUUUUUCUUGACUUGCAGUAGCAUCUAAAUUGUAGCUGGAGAUGUGGAAACACCAUACGAACCAUAAUAGGACUUUGAAUUUUCGAAUUUACAUUGUGAUCUUUUGAUGCUGCAUGAGGCGGAAAUCAACUCCUCGGAGUUGAAAAGCAAAAGCUUAGGCUUUUUUUUUAUAAAAUAACCUAUAAAACUAUAUAUAUGUUUGUCUGAAUAAUCUGGACAAAACUAUAUCUAGGCAAAUAAUCUUACUUUUGCCAGGUGGUGCUAGAGUGACAAAGUGAGCUUUAAACACGGUGAAUUAUUCAAUGUUCUAGUAAAAACAAAUAAAUGAUUCAUCAUAUUUUACAAACUGUUGCAACUCACAUUAAAAUUGUGAACAAUUCACUACUUUAUAUAAAGCGAUAAAACGUUCGGUGUGUUAACGAAGACGAUCAAUGAUUUAAUCUGUUUAUUCGUAGCCCUCCAUAUUUUGUUGUGAUGGAAAACUAUAGUAAAAAUUUUAAAUAAAAGACAAUUGAGGCCAAAAAUUUAAGUGUCCUGAUACUGAAUUAUACUGAAAACUUACCGGUAUGGUACGUGGCGGGCUAUGCUAAUACAUGCCGGUCAUAAAAUAUACAUGCGUGCCGACACAUAAUAGUAUGAAAUAUUUAUUUUUCUUUAGCACCAAAAUAUUCAAUUCUUUAUUAUAUAUUUUUAUCAAAGCUUUUUAACUAUAUUUAAAAAAUUACUUACUAUUUUUUUAUAAAAAAAAGAGUUUUGUGUUAUGACAUCAACGCGAAAAUUAUAUCGCAUCGAUAUAGUCACACCAAUAUCGUAUUGACAUAAUACGGCACGGUAAAUAUGGCCCGUGUCGAUGAGCAUUUUAAAUCCUCCGUUGAGGCUUUUGCUUUUGGAGGAGGUGUCACAGUGAAGUAGAGAGUUACAACAAACUCUGCAACAAAUACUAUUCCUAUAAUGAUAAGAUAAUAAAGAUGACAUUUAUUUCUAUCUUAUUUAGUAAUACAACUAUUUGCUUGGCUCCUAGGAGUUAGAUACAUUCAUAGAGACCACUCUAGCUACAUGUUCACAAUGACACAGAAAGAAUACACAUUACUUUCUUACUGUUAGGCACGUUAACAGCAUCGCCGACCCUCAUGAAGCUUACACAGGAGCUCUCUUCCUAAAAAGUGCCUGCAAAACAGUUUAUAAAUCAUAUUCAGAAACCUAAAACCAUGCAAAUUCGAGUGCGCUCUGCUUUUAGAUUAACAUAAGAUCAUCAUAUUACAGCCAAAAAUAUUCUCUUGAACAGAGAAAAACUUAUCCUUUUGAUUUCGCUCUUCGAAGGCCCAGUAUCUCGCAUGCUCGUAUUUCCUGUUACUUAGUUUGCUAAUAAUGAGGCAAAAAUAUGUAAUAUAUAACUAGAGGUAAGCAAAGUUUCGUCGGCAAUUCAUUGUCAUAGCCUGGAUGUUAUUAUUGAAAAUUAAGCUUAAGAUUCUAUUACUGAAAGGUGAUGGUAACUAUAUAUACUUUGUACAAUGUCUAACUUUUCUAAAUUUCCAGAUAUUAAUUUCUUGCCAUUUAUUACAGUAUAUUGCGAAAGAAAACUAAAAGGGUAAGAGCAGGCGCUUGAACGGAAAGAUCAAGAUCACAAAGUCGUUAUCUGGUUAUGUUUCAUGUGUUUACAAGACAUAUAGCUUGAAACGGAGGGAAUGUUCUUGAAUUUUAAUUGCAGUUACAGAAAGGUAAUUGUUGAUCUUACCUUGGUUUUUCUUGCACAUCUAGCCAACCUGUCAAAUACAGAUAAAAUUUAAUUAAAGCACGAAAAAUAACAGCGGGUAUAUGAAUUUAUAUGUGAAAAAAAUAUUACUACUGUUGUGUGAGUUGCAAGUAAAUAAGGAAUCAAAACAAUACUAAUUUUCCAAAAUCAUAAUCGGCAAAGUAUGAAGAGCACAAAACUAAGUAGUUAAUUCAGAAUAAUAGAUAUAAAAAAUGAGUAGUUCACUAAUUCAUCGAUCAAAGAAGCACCGCUUAGAUAGUGCUGGACACAUCCUAUGCUCAACUCCAGCUUCCGCGUUGAAAUUUGAACUGCUCACAAAAUUUGCCUACCAAAGAGCACAAAAUUCUAUGCAUAUUUCUCUUCAAUCAUCACUUGUAAACUGACAGAUGCAUCAAGAGGAUAUAAAGGCUUACUUUAUAUGGAGCAAAAAUGGCCUUUACGUCAUUAAAAACCUCAUCAAUUGGCUUUGCGGCAUCAACCUGAGAUUUUGUCCAACACAUAACUCAACCGUUAAAAUCAAGAAGCACUUUUCAUCCAUCCAUGAUGGUAUACAAAUGAAAGGAAGGUAACUACAAAUUUACCUUUCGAACCUUUCCCUUUCGCUCAUAGUAUUCAAUAACAGGUAGAGUGGACUCCGAAAAAACUUUGAAACGCUUCCUAACUGCUUCAAUAUUAUCAUCGUCUCGUCCCUACAAAAUAGCCAAAUAGUAGACAUGUCGAAGUUCCAUAAUGUUAUGACAAAACAUGCUUGAAAAAAGUAAAGAGACAAAAAAGAAACCUGGUUGCGGUUUAGAACCCGCCGCUCCAUCUCCUCUUGUGGGCAGUCAAGAAAAAGAAUGAAUGCAGGCUCAAUUUUCAUCUGUCACAUGAAUACAAAGGUACAUAACGAACAAUAUCCUGGAACAAAACAACACACUAUGGAAACAUACAACCAGUAACUUGGCUGAAAUGAUUAAAAUGUAAAUAGUGAAUGAGAGCAUUACAACACUCUCAUAUGUCAGACGAUUCUCUUCAUUGCGAGGAAAUCCGUCAAUAAGAAAUUUGUUGUUUCCACUUCUAAGCAUAGCCUGCUGUAACAGCUUAACCACGACUUCUGAAGGUACAAUCUCCCCUUCCUUCAUCAUUGUCUGGAUCAUGGCACUGAAGAAGCAGAGAUCAGCAAGACCAAAAUUGUGUUUUAAGAAAACUGGCACAACACAAAAAGCUAAGAUCUCUUUUCAACAUAAAUACUUGUGCAACAGAAGAAAAUUCCCCGGACAGAAAAAGACUACUUAAUAAUAAUGCCAAAAAAAACAACAAAAUUUCCAAAAAAAUAAAAUAAAUAAAGACAAUCUUUUGAAGUGGCAAGUGUUAUUUAAUACCCAUAUGCAGAGCCAGUUUUAGUUUCUGCACGCAGAAGGUCACCAACACUAAGAUGUGUGAACCCAAAGUGUUUGGCGAUCUUUUCACACUGUGUGCCUUUACCGCAACCAGGACCACCUGUAGAAUUAUAAAAAAAAAUGCACCAAUCAGAUCUACAAAUUGUAUGAAAAAAUAUGCUGGGAAUUAUAGAAAGCAGUAGUUUUAACAUGCAAUGGAAGAAAACGAAAGCUGCAUUAAGAAGUCAUCACCAUUACAUGUAUGGAUCAGCUAGAUUGUGUGACAACAAUUACAAUCUUAUUUACAUUUUACUUGUUCCUAAUCAGAAUUACAAACAGAUAUCUUAAUAAGGUACAUAUAGUUUUACUUUUUCUUUCUUUCUUUCUUUCUUUUUGUGUGUGUUUGUGUGUGUUGUAUAGCAUGCUUCUGAUUUGUUUAAAUUAAUUUGCUUCUUAAAAUUACCUUGAACAAAGAAUAGUGGGAACUCAUAUGUCAGGAGAUUAUACAACUCUCAUUCGACAAAGCGAGAAAAAUCCAUACCUAAGACAAACACAAUUGUGAUCUUCUUGUCACGAAGAAGACUCCCAUCUGAAUUCUGCAGCAAAACAGCUAAUAAUCAUCAACUCAUCAAAAUUUAAUUUAUAAGGAAAAUUAAUACUUGAUUCUUCUGAGUAAUGUAAAAUUGAAUCUAAAUGUAUUAUUCCGAUACUUCAUAAAACUAUAUAGACAAUGCAAGAAAAAAUGGCCAACAGAAGCAGAAGUCUUGACUUAAUAAAGAACAAAAAGUUGACAGAACUUACGAGGCAGGACAAAAAAAAAAAAGAGAAUAUAUUUAUGGUUGGAAUCACUGCAUGGACAGGACUAGAAGUCAAGACAAACUUGCUAGCUUUCGAAUUGCCUGGAGCAGUGGUCCAGAACAACUGGGACCAGCCCAUUUAGCAUGUUUAUUACACGGGUAACUUUUGAGUUGACAUGCUUUGCCUAACAUUAUUAAAACAUUUUCUAUCCAGUUCAGAGUAUAUACUGAACCUGCAGUUAUUCUGGCCCAUUUCACUUCAAAAGAUUUUGAAAUAAUAUUAACCUUCUUUAUUCCAUUUCACAGUGUCAUUUAAAUGUGGGAGAAACUUAUUUGUUUAUAAUAGGAGUUUGAUUUUUCAGGUAUCAUUAGGUCGUAACAAUUCUGCCUUUCCAAGACAGUAGGUUCCACCUACUCUGUGAUUUAUCUUAUGCUGAGAAUAAUUAUUUAGAUAUCAAAUAUACUAUGCAGUUUUAGAUAUGUACUAUACAGUUGAAGACAUCUUUUUGCACUCAGCGUCAAUCAAGUAGCAACACAUGCCCCUUAAGUAAACAAAGAGAGAUCUACCAAAUAAUUUAUUUAUGAAUCCAAAGAGGCCCUACAUGCAUUAAACAUUCAUCAAUCACAUGGAUCACUUUCGUUUUAUCUAUUUAAUAAAUAGGUUGGCUUCAAGUUAGCGUUUUAACCUGAUUAAUAACUUGGUCCAUUCUCAGGUUGAGUUAUCUCUUUAAAUAAAUGUGUUCACAUGGCCCCCUUAUGAGACAUGAACAUGAACAGCCCCGCCCAAGUUAUAACUUAGCAAAUUUAAAGGUUCUCUCAGAAAAUCAAUGUUCUCGAAGUUGUGUUUAUGAAUAUUGGAUCGAGUGCCCUACAGUUUUCACAGCUUUUAAGUAUCAAUUUUUUAUAACUUUACAGUUAUCAAUGGUGUAAAUCAUACAUAAAGAUGCUAAAGUGAUGUUCACUCAUAUAGUACUCAAUGAACCUUCAUGCACUUAAUUAUACAUCUGUAGAUAUUAAAGUUCUAUGAACUUUAGGCUUAUUGAGUGAUAUGAUAGAUGAGUCAAGUGCAUAGGAAAGCAGAGCAAGAUUGUUCAAACAGCAGCAAUUUGUAGAUGAAACCAAAGUGCUGUAUGACUUAAAAAACUAAAAUUAAAAAUAAAAAGAUAGUACCUUGUCUUUAUCAACCUUAGUUCCCAUGAAACUCAAUCAGGUUUCUUGCUAACUAAUCUGUAAAAAGGAAAGCCAUCGUAAUGUAAGUGAAAAGGAAAGCCUAAAGAAACCAAAGACUGCUUUGCUACUUCAUAGAGAAGAACAAUCCCAAUGUAAAAUAUACUCAUAGUAAAAACUAAAAAUCAGGUGUCAACAAGAAAGGAGCUUAUCGUAUUGUCCUGGUCUGUCUGAUCAAAAAUUUCCAUUGACCAAAACUGCCUAUAAUUGCAUAAAAUUAUUGCCACUAUAUCUUUCGACUUAAAAAAUAUCUAUUGCACCCCAAUAGCCCCGUAAUAAUACACCCCAACAGUCUCGUAUUAGUUAAGGAAUAGCACUCUAGUAGGAGCAAGUUGGCCUGAAGCAUUUUGGAAUAGUAGUUUAGGCCUAACAAGCUGCUAAUACUAGUACGCUGGUUUGGGUUAUUAUAUAUAUUUUAUAUAAGUUUCAUUUAUCAAAGAUUCUUACAAAGUUGAAGAGUAAGAAAGGAGAAAAAUACAUCAAAGAACCGAGUAAAUUCUUAACAAAACCACCUACAAACUAAGACAGCGAUUAUUGCACAAAUUUACAAAGCAUAAGUUUGUUCCAAGAACGAGAUUUUUAUACCCUUUCCAGGCUUUGUCAGAAAGAACGUCUUACUACCCUAACUGGUGUAACAAAAUCGAAAUCCCACUGCAUCAAGCUACCAAAAUGGAAUCCCAUCUAAUUUCUAAUCAAUUCAAAAGAUACUCCCAUCAAAACUUAUCUAUGAAAACACAAAAUUUUCUCAAGAAUCAUUUAGUAUUCCAUCAUGCAUCAACAUUAGAAGAGGAAAUGAUGAUCAGAGCCAUUGAAGAUUUGAAAUUCAAACCAGAUUUAGGACUCUCGACAACACAAUACAUUCUCAGGAAUCUAGUAUUACACUAGCUGGUAUAACCUACAGUGACAAGUCACCUAAGGGCACUCAUAUCUAAUCUCUAUUCAUAUCAAAAGAUAAUCCCGUCAAAACUAAUCUAUAAAAAUACAUAAUUUUCUCAAAAAAUAAACUAGUACUCCAUCAUGCAAUGAUCUGAACCAUGAAAGAUUCAAAAUUUACACCAGAUUCAGCACUCCCCGAGGGUAUCAUACACGGAAAGAGCGAGAUGUCUGAUUACUAAACUGGUAUAAGAAUUUCAUAACCUACCGCAAAAAGUCACGUAAGCCCACUCAUAUCUAAACUCUAAUCAGUUCAAAAGAUACCCCCAUCAAAUUUUACCUAUAAGGAGAGAAAAUUUUCUCAAAAAUCAAAUGGUACUCCAUCACGCAACCCCAUUUGAACAGAAAAAUUGAUCUUAACCGCAAAAGUAUCAAAAUUUUAUCAGAAUUAGCACUCCCCAAGGGGAUCAAACGUCAAAAAGGCGGUCUCGGGUCUAUGAAAUGAUACAGAGGAAGAAGAAUAAUGAUGGCGAGCUCCAUAUAGAGCGAGAUAUCUGAUUACCCAACAGAACAGUCAAAUUAUCAAAAUUUAUCCAGAAAAACACAAUCCUGUCUCGAUUAUACCACAAAAACAUGAUCCGAGACGCUAAAUAGUCAAAAUUUAUACCAGAUUCGGCACUCUCCGGCGAGAUCAAUCCGAUAUGCGAACUGACACACACAACAACAAGAUAUAUACAGUGAGAAUCGCACACAGGGAUCGGAAUCGGAGUAUUGGGCGAGUGGGGGAUUCCGAAGUGGAGGGUGAAUCGAAUCGGAUUCGAAGGGGAUUGGGAGGUGGAGGAAGGGAUCGGAUACCUUGCGAUAGGGCGAUUAGGGUUUUUAUCUCGCUCCUUUUUCUCUCUCUUUCUCCGCUCGGGCUCGCGAAGGUGCGAGAGAGAGAAAUGGCGGUAAAGAGAAACGGGAGUUUUCUUUAUAUAGAGGAGAGGCUAAAUAACACGAAGCCCCCUUUCAAUUUACGCUCUGCUUAACCACCCCUUUUACAAAAUCCUUUGGGAAAACUUCAAAUACCCCCCUGUGGUUUCGCACUUUCUCACUUUAGUAUCAUAUGGUUUAAAGUGUAUCAAGUUAGUACCCUGUGGUUUCACAGUUUUCACUUUAGUACCAUGUGAUUUAAAGUGUAUCAACCUAGUACCUUAUGGUUUUGCAUUUUCUUACUUUAGUACCAUGUGGUUUAAUAUUUCGUUAAAUUAUAUACAAAAAACUUCAGAUACCCUACCUAAGUUUAUCGAAUAUCCAUUUUAAUAUCCUUUAGUUUUAACUUUGUCACCGAUUUAACAAAUAAAAUACUCCGAAAUGAAUAAUAAAAAGAAAAAAAUGAAAUGAUAGGGUACUAACUUAAUACAAAAAUAAAACUACAGACUACUAACUUAAUACACUUUAAACCACAGGAUACUAAAAUGAGAAAGUGCGAAAUCACAGGGUACUAACUUGAUACACUUUAAAUCACAGGAUACGAAAGUGAGAAAGUGUGAAACCACAAGUGGUAUUUGAAGUUUUCCCAAAUCUUCUUUUUCUUAAGCUCUAAGAUAAACUUUAACUUGCCCUUGUAGUUUGGCUUAUUUUCAAUUUACCACUCUGUGGUGUAAAAUUUGCAUAACCAUAUUUAAUUUGCCACUUUGUGAUUCAAACAUUUUUUUAUAAUUAACUUUCUUGUGGUUAUCAAAAAAAUUAUUUUUGAACCAUUCUCGCGCUGGUCCCAAGUCCUUCGUGUUUGCUCAUAAACACCAUUACAUUUUGCAAUGUUUUAAAAAUCAGGUCAAAUAGCGAAUCGAUAAUGUUAUUUAUUUUUUCUAAAAAUCAGUAUUUUAUAAUUAAAUAUAGUACUAAAAUAAUCAUAUAUAUAAUAUAAUAUUAUUAUAAAUAAUAAUUUAUAUGCAUGACGUCAUUAGUGCAACCCAUAGUUGACUUACUAGUUAGCAAUUAAAUUUUAUUAUUUUAUUAAUUUGUGCUAAAAAAGUAAAAUCAACUAAGUUGAUUUUAGACCGUCAAAUUUUAAUAUAACUUGAGCGAAAAUCCAGCAAAAACUAGACUAGUUCACCGGUUCGGAUUUUUUCACUUAUUUGAUUUAGAAGGUUGAAUGGAACCGUUUUAUAGACUAAGUCACGAUCGGACCAGUCGAACCGACUGAUUUGGACCUAGUAUUUAAAUAAUGGCUAAAAUACAGAAAAUCCUCCCAUAAAUACUUACUUUCUCAUUUGCCCUCCCUGAUUUUUAAAAAUCUAUAUUUACUUCUUCAAAAUUUCAAGUUAGUACAUAAUUCAUUCAUUUUCUUACAAUUUAGACCGAAAAUAUUCUUGUAAAUUACAAAAAUUUACCAAAACAUUUAUUUUUUAAUAGAACAAGUAAGGAUAAUUAGUUAUUUUGUCAUCUCCAUUAAUGUUGUAACCAUUUGAAAAUAUUUUUAAAAUUUUAAGGAGACAAAAAUAUAGACUUUUAAAGUUGGGACAAAAAAAUAAAAAGAGUAUUUUGAGGGGGGUUUUUUGUAUUUUAGCCUUAAAUCAUUAAAUCCUUGUAGAAACACGUCUCACCCAAAAAGACACCCACUUCCACACCCACCAUGCCCAAACCCUCGUCGUCGUCCUCGUCCUCGUCCUCUCCCCAUCUCCAUCGCCUCCUCCGCCACCGAAACCCUCCUCCUCCUCCUCCUCCACCAUGUCCUCCUCCUCCUCUUCCUCUUCUCCCCAUCAACCGCUUCACGCUCCCCCUCCUCGCCAAGGUCGCCUCCCACCUCGCCCUCCCUCUCCAUGCCCGCGCCCUGCACGCGCGCGCCGCCAAAUCCGCCCUCGACGCCGACCUCGUCGUCCGCAACGCGCUCCUCCACAUGUACUCCUCCCUCGGCGACCUCCCCGCCGCGCGCGAGCUCUUCGCUUCCGCGCGCGAAUCCGAUCUGGUCAGCUGGAACUCCAUGAUCGACGGCUGCGCCAAGAACGGCAUGCUGGGCGCCGCGCGCGACCUCUUCGACGAAAUGCCCGAGAGAGAUCGCGUCACCUGGAACGCCAUGAUCGCCGGAUACGCCGCGGCCGGCGACGCGGCCGCGGCAAAGGAGCUGUUUUUGGCGAUGCCGGAUAAGGAUGUCGUUUCCUGGAAUACGAUGAUUAGCGGGCACGCGAGGAUCGGCGACGUUAAGGUCGCACGGGAGCUGUUCGACAAAAUGCCCAAUAGAGAUCGGUUCACUUGGAAUGCCGUGAUUGCCGGGUAUGCCGGAAUCGGAGAUAUGCGCGCCGCAAAGGAGCUGUUUUUAGUGAUGCCGGAUAAGGAUAUUGUCUCUUGGAACACAAUGAUUAGUGGGUACGCUAAAAUUGGUGAUGCUACGUCUGCGAGGGAGCUGUUCGAUGAAAUGCCGGAGAGGGAUUCGGUGUCGUGGAAUGUCAUUUUGGCACUUUAUGCAAGGUUGAAGAAGUAUAGGGAUUGUUUGAGGUUGUUCGAUUCUAUGAUGGCGGUCGGAGAUGUGAAGCCCAACGAGGCGAUUUUCGUCAGCGUCUUGACGGCUUGCGCUAAUUUGGGUGAGCUCGAGAGAGGGAAAUGGGUCCAUUCUUUGAUUACGGAUGGAUGCAAAACUAUUGAGCUUGAUGUUUUGCUUUCAACCGCGCUAUUGACUAUGUAUGCCAAGUGCGGGGUCAUGGAUUCGGCAAAGGAAGUUUUCGAUUCGAUGGAAGAAAGGAGCGUUGUAUCGUGGAAUUCGAUGAUUCGCGGAUAUGGCCUUCACGGCGAAGGUAAAAAGGCGCUCGAUUUGUUCAUGGAGAUGGAGAAAAGGAGAAUAAAUCCCAACGAGAAAACCUUUGUGUGCAUUCUUAGUUCGUGUGCUCACAAUGGGAUGGUUUUCGAAGGAUGGUGGUGUUUCGACCGAAUGAUUUGGUUUUACAACAUCGAGCCCAAAGUUGAGCACUUUGGUUGCAUGAUGGACCUUCUCAGUCGAGCUGGAUUGCUUAAAGAUUCAGAGGAACUGAUGAAGAAGCUAAACCUUGAAGGGUCCCCAGCUUUACUCGGUCCGUUAAUGUCAGCCUCAACAAACCAUUGCAAUUGGAAGCUUGGGGAGUUUGUGGGUAAAAAAUUGAUCGAGAUGAAGCCCCAAGAUAUCGGGCCGUAUGUGCUUUUGUCGAACAUUUAUGCUGCGGAAGGUCGAUGGGAUGAUGUUGAGAAGUUGAGGGAGGUGAUAAGGGAGAAAGGUUUGGAAAAGGACUUAGGGUUUAGCUUAGUUGGUGUGGAAGAGUCCGAAUCUUAUUCUGUCGACGAAGAAAAGGUCAUUUCAGAAGGCAAGAAGAGCAUGGUUUUCUCUAUGUCGAAUGAAAUUGGUGCUCACUUGAAAUCAUCUUGUAGGAGGCACCAUAAGAGCAAAAGAACAUUAGUAUCUACAGGUUGAGAAUUGUGGCACGAAACAAUCAAGGUGAUAUUUGUGAUAUUUAUUGUAUGAAGGUGAUAUGAUCCCUCGGAAAGAAGAAUCAAGAUGGAUAAGCCCUUACGAAAACCUACAAUAUAUGGAAUUUUUCGCUAGCAAGGUGGAGAAGUUGAGGGAGAUGAUGGGGGAUAUUUGAGUGAGGAACUUACCCUCUGAAAUAAUAAGAUGAUACUCUCUUUUACGUACAUAAGACUCGCGAUUGUAAUGGAUGAAACAGGAUUUAAUGGGUCAUUUACAUCUGUUGAAGGAUAAAAUAUCAUGAUAUGGUUCAUCCAUAUGUUUAGUUUAGAGAGAAUUCUAUCUUAUCUCAAAGCAUAAAGCUAUGUCGAGUCGCUCCUCUGCUUCAAGAAGCAGUAGCAAGAGACAUAUAGCAAAGAAACACGGGAAAAAGAAAGCUGAAAUGAGCUUUUAGGUCUCAAGAAAUUCUUGAGCGCGUCUAGUGUAAACAGUAUUUAGUGUUGAGAAAGUGGAGGCGGGAUGUCACAUACGAAACCGGAUGGUAAACAGUGCCCUAUUAGUGAAGAUUAUUAUUUGUGUGAGCAGCUGCUGUAAUUUGUUCCCAGAUCUGACAUACAAAAUCAAAAUUAUGUUCUUGGAGAGCUUGCAAACUAAUACUGAUUGAAAAUGAAGCUUAAAGAUUUGGGAGUAUCCUUUCUUCUUAUUGUAUGUUCUAAACUGCAUGAGGUGAUUUUGCUAUAGAAAUUUAGAAGUUGAGGGAGAUGAUUACUGUUGUGAAGUUAGACUAAUUGGAUGCGGGAUAUGAUCAAAGUGUCUCACUCAAGCUAUGAGAUCAUAGCUGUUGCCACUUUCUGUGAGAUGGAACUGAUAUUUUUUUUUCUUUUUUUUUAAUCUUUUGUAAAUUCAAAUAUUACAUAAGAAUUAUGGAAUUCUUGGUGAAAUAAUUGUAGCAAUUUUGAGACUCGGGGGAUUUUGUAUUAGAUUAUCUUAUGGAGUUGACAUUUGUUUGAGAGGCUCAUCACUUUUAUUGUCUGUCUGAUUCUGCUUUUGCUUGUUCUUUCAGUAACAAUUAUCUUCGAUUGGUUGAUUCUGCUUUUGCUUGUCCUUUCGGUAACGAUUACAUUCGAUAGAGCGUUUCAUAAAUAAAAAAUUCUAGUGCUUUUGCUGUAGUGGGAUAUUUGAUUUACACUCUACUGCUCGGAUAUACAGGAAGAAUUGCUCAUAAGGAAAAAUGAGCGGCGCUCAAAAAAGAUUUUUAAAUCCUUGGAUUGGAAGCUAUAAGAUUUACACCUCAUUUCUCUAGCAUAUUUCAAAGUAUAUAGAAAAUUUGUAUUGUUCUAUUAUUCAUAAAAAAUUAGAAAACUUGUAAAAUAUCUUUUUAAAUACAAACUAUACAUUUUGCGUAGGGUUUUAGUUAUUUUAUUUGAAAAGAUAAAUCACUUUAUAGUUAGAAUGUUGUCUUUGAUAACUAAUCCUAGCAUCCAAACAAAAUAGUUUAUUUCUAUAGUUUCAAGUUUAGUUUUCUGAAAAACCUGCAAACUAGAGAAUAAAGUGAUAAAAUAUAGAACACAGAGUAAUGCAGUAUUUUAUUUGUUGAAUGAAUAUGUAGUUUAUAAAUUGUAGCAUUUUACUAUCCUUUUAACUGUUGAUGGUGAAGUAGGGGUGGCAAUCUAGCUUGUUGUCCCGAGCUAGCUUGUGUUCGGCUCGAAAUGAGCUCGAGAUCGAAUCGCUCGUUUAGUAAACGAGCCGAAUACGAGCUGAAUUUUUUAGCUCGUUUAAUAAACGAGCCGAAAACAAUAUGGGGUCAUCUUGCUCGUGUUCGUCUUGAUAAUAGCUCAAAUACAUAUAUUUUAUAUUUAUAUAAUUUAUAUUUAUAUAUAUAAAUAAAUAAUUAUAUAUAAAAAUACAAAUCUCUAUUAUUUGAGUUUUAGCCUAACUGAAAUAUGAAGUCCAAGUUAAUUAAAAAAAGGGAGCAGGACUGGUGUGCUCUUAGAAGCGCAGAGGCUUUCGUGCUUCUGAGCCGUUUUCGCCAAUGAAAUUUUCGUAUUGACGAUCAGUUCCGUUAGACUUAAUCUAGCAUAUUUGAAGUUUUCAGAAAAUAAUUUUUGCGACUUUUCGUUAUCAUUUACCAAAUGCAUCACGGGAAAAAGAGUUUUCUUAAACUUACCUUAUGGAUUGUCGGUAUCUAGCGAGGAAGCCUCCUCCGUGAACCUCACUAUUUUGAAAGAGCAAAAUAUAAAAGCCUUAAGACUUGAUAGCAUCCUCGGAGGAAGUGAAAGAUCUGUGGACAAGACUACUCAGUUUACUAGACGCCCAAGGAAGAUUAAAAGUCUUAACUCUACUGACAGCUAUUUGGUAGAUCGUUUGGACAAAAAGGAACGAUAUUCUUUUUCGAGCGAAGCUUCCCAACCCUACUCGGGCACUUGAGCGCGCCAGUCUCUCGGCGUCAGCCUGGAACACGAGCCUCUGACUGCCUCGUCUCCUUUUGCGGCCUUUUGGCCGUUUCCUUCCAGGCUUUUUUAUAAAAUGAUCCUCUAGAAAUUCAAAAUUGGGAAAAUGACCAUGCCAAAAUUUUAUUUGUAAAACUAACCUUCCUUUCGCCACGUGGGUGCCACGUCAUGAUUUAUUACAAAAACGGUGAAUCAUUUAUCGUCUUUGUAAUAUUUGUUGUGAAAGCGGUAAAUCGUUCACCGCCUUCAAAAAGCGAUAAACCAUUUAUCGCCUUUAGUGCAAAAUCCCCCUUUCCACCCUUUCAAGUUUGUCGUUCCUAUGCCCUCGAGAAGACGGGGAAUGAUUCACCGUCUUCUCCCUCCUUAAGAAGACGAUAAACGAUUCACCGUCUUAUCAAGAACACCAUAUUCUGGACUUGAAAAAAUUUACGCAUCAGAGUAGUGAUUUGUACUAAAAACAGUGAAUGGUUCACCGCCUUAUAAAGACAGUGAACCAUUCACCGCUUUUACAACAAAUAUAACACAGACGGUGAAUGAUUCACCGUCUUUUUGAAGAAUCCCUGACGUGGCGCCCACGUGGCGAAAGGAGGGCUAGUUUUACAAAUAAAAUUUUGGUAAGAUUAUUUUACCAAAUUCGAAUUUCUGAAGGAUCAUUUUAUAAAAAAGCCCUUUCCUUCCUUCUUUGUUUUGUUCUUCUACUUACAAGUUUCGUUGUUGUCUUAUAUCAUUUUAUUUUUGUUCUUUUGUACACCUAUCCCGUCUUUUUUCUUCUUUCGGAGGCCCAAACUGUUUUCAUUUUGUAAGCCUAAUUUAUUUUUCUAAUGAAUGAAACAGAUAGCUAGCUAUCUAUUACCUCAAAAAAAAAAAAAAGAAAAAAAAAAGAACAAAAUAUACGGGUGCUCUCACGCCCCACUGUUCUAUUCUGCUAUUGCAACUUAGGCUUAGUUUGGACGCUGUAAGAUAUAAUGGAGUUGUGAAAAAAGCAUAUAGGGAUAUACUUCUGCGUUCUCCGGUGAGAGCGCAGAAAAUAUAUUGUAACCGACUCAUCGCGAUAUGCGGAAUACAAUAUUACAUACGGAAACAAACAGAAUAUUUUUCUAAUGUACUUUCUCACCGCACGUAACGCAAUCUCCCCGCAAUCCCAAACGAAACCUUAAUCACCGUCCUUCACUUAUGUUAUAUUUUCAUCUCCAACCGUCAGAAAAAAUCUGCUCUAGCAACACGACUUCCUAAUUUCAAGCUAUUUGAAACAAGGUUUUAAGAUCACCAGUUAUGGCUAUCACUUACUCAUCGUACGUAAGCAUUGCACAGACUAGGACUCCUGAACUUUCUCCUACAGGAAAUAAUUCAGUAUAUGCAUAAUACAACAACACCUAGCAGCAGUAUUAUUAUAGUAUGAAAUACAAAGCGAGGUACGUGUAAUAAGCUCAUUUUAUGGUGCUCUAUUUCUCGCUGUGUCCAAAAAAAAAAAAAAAAAAAAAAACUUCAAAUACCCCCCUUGUGGUUUUAUUUUUUUCGCUUUAGUACCCUGUAGUUUAAAAUAUAUCAAAUUAGUACCCUAUGGUUUCUCAUUUUAUCGCUUUAGUACCCUUUGGUUUAAAGUGUAUCAAGUUAGUACCAUGUGGUUUUGCACUUUAUCACUUUAGUACCCGGUGGUUUCGCACUUUAUCACUUUAGAACCCUGUGGUUUAAAAACUUGAUACAAAAAUAAAACCACAGGAUACUAACUUGAUACAAAAAUAAAACCACAAAGUACUAACUUGAUACACUUUAAACCAAGUGAUAAAAUGAGAAACCACAUGGUACUAACUUGAAACACUUUAAACCACAGGAUACUAAAAUAAAAAAGUGUGAAACCACGGAGGGUUUUUUGAAGUUUUCCCAAAAAAAAAUUGAUAGUUUCUGCCACCUUGAAUCUACUCACAGUACGGAGCACCUGUUUAAACCAAGGGCCGAGAGGAUUCUUCUACCUGAAGGCGAGAGUCUGCCCAAAAAUCCCGUCCGUUCACCUUCGAAAGCGCAGUCUGUUCCUGCGUUCGGGGUAGAUCCUGUGCUCCCGUCGCCAUCAUUUUUUUCUGCCUCAACUUUGCUCGUGGGGUCGUCCAGACUCUUCCCAUCUUCUGAAUCAGCUCCCACUUCAGAAAUCUCCCCUGGCUUCUUGUCAAAUAGCCCUUUAAACUGCUUUCUGGCCUUCUUCUCCACUUCCUGAAUUUGAAAAAGAUAAUAUUAUUAUUGUUUUCACUUCUGUGGUAAUGCUCAGUUAGGAAUGAGUCUGUCGUAUACUUGCCUGUUGCUUUUGCUUUAGCUUAAGAAGAGCAGCAGCAGCAUCCGGCUCUGAAGAUUUGUCUACAGUUACCAUCUGAAAGUAAAAGCAAGCUUACAUCCAGUUCUUAGAUGACUAUCCGACUGAACAAUUACACAGGCUAGUAGGUUCUUAGAACUUCUGAGGAAAAAGAAAAGACAAGCGUCAAAACCAACCAUUUCAAAAUCCUCCUUUGCCUCAUCAAAAUCUCCACCUAACAUGUAAGCCAUGCCUCGUCGAUAUAAAGCUUUGACGUGUAGAGGGUUUGCAUCUAAUACCUGCUCUCCGGAAAUGGAAACUCAGAAAGUUUAAAGGCAUAAUAUUAUUCUGGUCAAGACGUCUCCAAUGGGAAAAAGCAUUGAAUACAACAAAGUCGGUUCCUACAGGCUAAUAGAGUAAUUACAUGUGAUUCGUACAGUAGGAUCAGAAACAGUUGGUAUAAACCUAACAGUACCAGAUUAAAAGCAUGCACAGAAUAGAAAUAGAAUCAGAGAUUCUUAGGAGCAGAUAUUUCUUCUGAAAUUUAGAGCUUCGCACCUUAUUGCAUGUCUCGAUUGAUUUUCUGUAUUCGCCCAUUUUCUGAUAACAAGCAGCUACAUUCAAAUGCAGGGAGUUCUGCAGCCAUCAUAAAGAGAGAAAGAUUCAAUACUGAAUUCAAUAAGAUAAUUUUAAUACCACUUAGAAACUGUUGAAUUAUGUGAAAUGACUUUGGCAAGUGACUGGGGAGAUAUUAGCAACCGCCAUACCCUUGAAUUCAAAAAUAUUUUUCCCUCUUCGUCAUCUUGUGGGUUGACAUGAUUAUACUCCCGAAUCACCUGUAAAAUCCAAAAGAGAAAAAUUAAAGCAUAAAGAUCCAAUGACUACGGAAGAACAUUCUAGAGCAACAUCAGACACAUAUACAUAAACAGAGAUGAUAAAUUUUUGUCAUAAGUUUUAGUGCGGUACUAUUGUGAAACUUGUUUAUUUUAUGUAGAUCAUAUAGCAAAAAAUACCCACAAAUAAUCUAGACUGAAGAUGCCCCAAUGAUAACAUGCAACUCAAUUUGUUGGAAUGAAUGAUUUUGAGGUAUAUAUUAAGAACGUAGUUACAGGUUCUAAUGCUUCUGCCUGAUUUUUAUAAAGUCAGAGAAACGCACCAAUAUUCUACAUUGUAUUCCCGAGAAAAAAAAAAAUGAUAUCCUAGAGCAAAAAAGGUUGGUCACUUCCACGAGGUACCUAAAAUCCUCAAGUAUUUAACCUGGAGGGUGGACCUUUCUGCAGCGUUAACAUAGAUCCAUUACCAGAUGAGUUCAUUGAUUUGGCUUGUAGAAAGAAACUCUCCAGAUGCAGCUGUAAGGCUGCGUAUGUUAACUCUACUGCAACCCUUGCUUUGGGCUGUUCCUUUUCUAGUUGAGUUACCACCUACUCAAUAAAGAAACUGUGUUCUCCAAAUGUUUUGUUUUAGAAACCUGGAACUCAUCCCUUCAGCUCAAUAUCCUAUGAUUCAGAAUUAAGCCAAUCAUAACACAGUGAAAUAGAAAAUAUUUAAGUGCACCAAAGCUAUCAAAUACAUCGUACCUUCUCAUACUUUGCCUUUGCAAGUUCAAACUUUCCUUCUUUGAAUAGUCUAUUCCCCUAUAAUUAAAAAAUAACAUCAAUAUGAGUGUUUUUGGCAGUGAUAAUUAAGUAACCUCUAUUAUAUCUUCAUAGUUCAUACCGUAUUUUUUAUCUUUUCUGCUUCUUCCAUGAUUUCUUGAAAGGUUAAGCCGGUCCAGUCCUGCAUGCACAUGUAGUCAUGCAAGAGAAUAAGAGACUGUAGAAUCUGAAUCUAAAGUUAACUUGGAUCAUGAAAUAUUUAUCACUGAACUGCGCCAUUCUUAAAAACAUAACAAUUGUGCUUAUUCCGAUCUCAUAUAAAAAUUAACGUGGAUGGCUUUGGUCUAGAAUAAAAAAUAUGAGGCUUAAAGAUGGGAGUCUCUGCUGGAUAUGCUUUAUAUUAUACAAUUCAUCUUUCCACAAAUUAGCAUUGGAUGUUCGGAGCAUUUGAAAACCUGGUUACCUUGGGCAUUUCAAAGCCAAGUAGCUCAAUUUCCCACUGGACAUGAGCCCCUUCAGGAACACUAGCUGGUCUGCUGCAGCAAGACUUAAUAUCAUACAAAAUUCACUUGGAGAAGUAACAGAAAUCUAACACAGAGGUAAAGUAAACCUUGGAAAUUUAUCAUAUGCGUAAUCCGGAGGGCAAGUGACAAGAGACACUUCUCCGGGAAGCAUUAGCCGAACACACAUUUCUAGUCCCUCGGGCACCUACCAAAAGAUGAAAUAUACGUUUCUUAAAAUAAAAUCAAACAAUUUAAAGUUUCAAGGGAUCAAAAGCACUUUAAUUCUACAAUGAAGCACCCCUGGACAUCAUGACAUCCAAAGGAAGCACCGAACAUUAGCUAACUUUGAAGAAAUUCCUACUAUUUCUUUUACUGUUUAUACUAUUUCAACCUUCUUUUUCAGAAUAAUGUCAGUAGCUUUAUAACAGAUAAGGUAGCAAUGGACCGUACGCAACUCCAGCCAAUAAGUAUCCAUAUCCAUUUAUUGCUAUUGUUGAUGGAAAGCAACAAAAGCGAAGACAAGCAUUUCCAAUUGAAAAUCUUAAUAAAGGUAGGUCCAUUGAAAACAAACAAAUUCCAAGAUAAGAAUUUGUGGAAAGAUAAAAGUAUGAUGCUUACUAGCCCUUCUCCAGAACAGAACUCCAAUGGCUCACCAUCAUUAUUAACUCUUGUAUCGUAAAACAGAGUCUUUUCUUCGUUAAGCAGCAUUCCCUUGUAAUGCACCCUUAACAAGCUAUCAUGAAGAGGACAGUCCAUAGGGAACUCACCUAAAAUUAUUCCAUAUAUAUGUCAAGGUGACAAAUAAGUUAUACUACCACAUCACCAACAAAUAAAUAAAUAAAAAUGAUAAUGAUGAUGCCAUAAUUUCAUUUUAUACCCACUAAUUGAUGAAACCAAUUUUCAUCCUUCAUUGGAUUCACUUGAAACACAUUUACCAAAACUAGUUACUACGUUAUGACAUGAAAAUGUGAUGCAGUCUUAUAGAGGAGAUAUCGAUCUACUGAAUGUAGAGGAGUGGUGAACCUCUUCCGUCAACUACACGUCGCUUUAUUAGCCGUCCAUCACCAAGCAUGUCUCUCACCUUUUAGUACACAUCAUGUUAGUAUAAUGUAAAUUUCCGGAAAAGAAGAAAACAACAGCCGAAUUUCAGCAACCCAACAAUAUUCAACGUUUUACACGAAAUGAAAGCUAUUCACUAUUUAAAAUGAAUGUGAACGUACCUGAACAAAGUGAACUAGUUCAAUUUCAAACUGAACCUCUUCAAGACCUUCUAGAGAUGACAUUAAAGAAGAUUUUGUUAAAUAGAUUUUAUUGACAUAAACUAUUGCCUUCUCUCCACGUGCCAUUGUUCCAAUCCCCAUCUCAAGCCCUUUUGGUACCUAAACUAGAUAAACACAGAAAUUAUACACACCAUAUGAGAAGGAAAAAGCAACCCCAAUUGACCAGAGGAUAAGUUUACACUUAGUAUACAUACGUUUUAAAAUGUUUUCAACGAAAAUAGAGGUUCAACCACAACAACUGGCUGGCUCUGAAGUUGAACAGCACAAUAGAGUAAGUUGAAUCAUUAAAUAAUAACACAACAGGCUACUAAAGGGGAGAUUUCUGCCUCAAAGCAUCUAACUCAGUUCAAUGACUUCCACUACAGCUUUGUCAGAAAGGAUAUAAAGUAUACAACUUUCCUAUAUAACAAACCCAGAAAAAACCCAAAGAUACCAUCGUAAACAAAGGAACUAUCUGCUGACCUCAGAUUUACCAAAAGUAAAGAAGUAAGGUUCUUCUUUAUGAAGCAGAAUUCCCUUUCCAUCUACCGUCUUAGCAGUAAUCCUGAAAAUAGUAAAAGCACGUCACACAACAGGCUCACCAAGAACAAUCACUAUUAAGUAUUCCUUUUAUGGGAGAAUUGACGACGCACGAAUUCAUUAUUUCAGCACCAAUUUCAGCCAAUUUAUGGACUUGAAUGUACUUCAAAUCUAACUCAAUGUUUUUUUCACACGUCACAGCAUAGUGCCAGCACAAUAUAUGUUACAGCAUGGCCUUCUGUGCUACUUGCACAAUAGCCAUGCUUGUAACAUCCACAAAUACAUCAGUGAUUGACAAAAGUAGGUUAUAGUUAUUGAGUUUUCAAUAAUUAUGCAAAAUUAGGCCAUUCACCUAGCAGUCACUUCAUAAGGUUCUCUUGGAGAUUCCCAUCCUUGCCCUUCAUCAGUUAUCUGCACAGGUACAGGUCAACAAUAAGCAUAGAACAAAGACUACAGCAAACACUGGAUAUAACAUUUCUACUACUAUCAGAAUGUACACACUAGGCCUUCAUGAAAAGGGAACUUCCCCUAUCUAGAAAAAGAAAAAUGUUAUAUCUAUCAUGUAUAACAACCACAAAGAUUCUUUCAAGAAGAAGCAUGUUCAAUUCAGGUUUUCUGUAGUUGAAUUCAUAUUAAAAAAAAAGUGAAAUUUAACUUAUAAAACCACCUUUACAUAUCAAAGAAGAUCACCAUAUUUACAAAAUUCAAAUUGUAAGUAUAAAAUAUCAAGAGACUCUUGUAGAGAAGGUGUAAAUAAAGGAAGCUAUAGUUCUAACAAGCAAGCUCAACACCUAUUGACAGCAUAAUUUUAUCUAGCGCAAGCAAAUUAAGAGCCUAGCACAGACAUUAAAAAAAAUGAAAUUACAAAAAAACUUAAACACCAGCAAGUACACAAAAUCAACUAAGAGAAACACACCAAUGGAGAAGAAAAUAAUACCAUGCCAGUUAAAAAUCCAUAUCUAUUUCAAAUUUUCAACCACAAAAAGUUUUAUCUGGAUGGUCAUGGGUUCCAGAAGGAAAAGCUUUAAUUACCUUCUUCACAACCCCCAAAUCCUCACUAAUGACCUGGACAAAUGGAGACAUGCUGAUGUUAGACUUUGAAGAAGCAAAAAACAUCUUUAAUACAAUUCAUCAUUAACAGUUUACCAUGGGAAAAAAAGACAAACAUACAAAGAAAUCUAAAGCAGUUUAUGGAAGUUUAGCUGGUCACCUUUGCAAAAUAUUCAAAAACUUAACAAAUUAUUUCUAAUGCUAAGGCGCUAUAUGGCCCAGUAUUCCCUAUGUAUAUAUACUUAUUUGGUCUGGCGAUAAAUAUCAUGCAGGGUGACUAAGGACAACUGAGUAAAAGUUACUCUGACCAUUCAUUAGCAGAUAACAUACCAACAAAAAAUAUGAAGAAUUGCAGAUGUAAAAAUCCAAACCACACCAAAACUAUGUAUUCCCAAGUAUAUGUGCUGCACCAUGGAGACCGAAUUCCAAAGUAUGGACAAAUAAGAAGACAAAAAGGAUGGCAGACAAGGGCAGCAGACAAAAUAUAAAUGCUGUGCAUCCUUGUGAUACUCUUGAUAUCGUAAUGGAAACAAUGGGUAUCACAACUUAAUAAAUUGAAAGUUAAUGAAUAGCAAAAUCUUGGGCAAAUAAGAAUCAACAAAAUUGCCGAACAUACAAUAAUUGAAUACCUGCUCCAUCUACCAAUAAUGAGAAAGAAAGGAUUAAAGCAUAAAAAAGUGAAUGUAUACAGGAAAAAAAAAAACAAGAAAUAACUAUUUAAGCAUGUACACACAUACACACACAUAUACACUGAGGGGGAAAAAAAUUAUGAAAGAGCUUGCAUAGAAGAAACAUCAAUAUGUAGAACAGCAUCAUGACCUUUGACUAUAAAAUCUGCAGAUAAUUUACAGAAGUCAUAAAAGAUAUGUCAGCUAAAGAGAACCAACCAGAUUUUGUCACAACUAGAUUAGCGUAGACCAUCUGAAAGACAGCCUUACCUUGGCUUUGAAGAAAUCCAACAUCUCGAUUUCAAAAUGAAGUUCAUCAUCCAUUGGGAAACCCUCUGGUGCUGUGACUGGGCAGUCAUCCUCAGCAUAGUGUAUCUCGGGUUUCAUUUUGAACUGAAAAUGAAACAUAUUAGAGUGAAAUCAUGAUAUAAGAUUCUCAACCCACAGAAGAAUAUCGAACAGGUAAUAAUUACUCAUUAAGGGCAUGUUUGUUUCAACGUAAGUAGACUUAGGGUGGAAGUGGACUUUGGGUUGAAGUGGAGUUGGGGUGAAAAUUAAUUCACUUUCGCUGUUUGUUUCUAACUGUGGAAAUGCAAUUCUGCGAGUUCUGUUGUUUGUUUGGUUGGAAGUAGAUGACGUAAAAAGUGUAGCUCUUCACCCCCGGUAUACUUACCUCCGAAGUGAUACCAUUGUCUAUUUUGUAACUUAGUGAAUAAUAAAGUAUAAUAAAUAAAAAUUAAUAUAAUUAUAUAUGUAUAUAAUUAUAUAUAUGUAUGAUUAUAAAAUAAAAUUUUAAAAAAUUUGAUUAUUUGUUUGCAUAUAAAUUAUAAUAAUACAACAAAUAAAAUUCUAAAGUUAAAAAAUUAUUAACAUUUAACAAAUUCAUUUUUCAUCAUUUUCUAAAUAUACAAAUUAAACAAAAAAUAUAUUAAAACUUACCUAACCAAAUUUGAUCAUAUUUUAGACAUACAAUCAAAAUAAAAAAUUUAAUUACUUCCACAAUUGAAUAUAUUUGGAGUUGGGUCUGGGACUCGGGAGAGGAAAGGGUAGAGAAGAGGGUAACCCCAACACAUUAAUUUCCACUAUUGCCUCUUUUCACCUCACCGAAAUUGACUUCGCCCCAUGGGAGGGGGAAGUCAAUUUCAUUAUUUUGGGUGAACUAGACUUUCGGGCGUAAUAAAAUUACGGUGAACCAAACAACGGAAGUGGUCUGUUUUCACCGAAAAUUACUUCCCCCUUCCCACUUCCACCCCACUUCCAUGCAAACAAACAGGCCCUAAGCGGACAUGUCAAUUCCUUACCACAGAACACAAUUAGUUUUUCACAGCACACACAUUCAACCAUCAACAAUGCAUUUAACUUAUUUAUCGAGCACAAUAUAGUCACUCGAAACUUCUAGAUAAGCAUCAAUAUCUCCAAGAAAAUUGUGAAUAAAAGCAAAGUGAUUUAAAGACAGGUGCACAAGGACUUCUACAAAAUAGACCCUGACAAAAAAAAAAACUUUUCAGAUUAAAGCACAAGAAAGUUAAGAAUCUAAAGCAGAUACCAUUGCUAUUUCACCCUUUAACAUUGUAGGAAUGCCUUCAGACAAACCAAGAAUCAUCUUGCUCUUUCCCAAGAUAAGCCUGAUAGGAUUUCCUUUACCUAUUACAUCGGACAAAUCACCAAAAUUUAUUAGUGUCGUGUAAAGUAAGAAGUGAAAUGGCAGUAAAAAUAGCCUACUCACCUCCAAGUUCUGCUCUUGUAGAAUUGACAAUAGCUCCAUCCAAAGUUCGAGUAGUGCAAUGAAAUAUAACCUGCAAAAUAAUGAAGAGAACAAUUCAGCACCCUCAUUUCAUUAGAUUCUGAAACAGCCCACGAGGGUCCAGACUAUAAGAAACACAAGAACCAUGUUCAAACCACCACUAGCAGCCCAAACAGGCUUCAGCUAGUGUAGCUAGUGUAAUCUGACAAAAGAUAGAGAGAAACCAUCCAUCAUUUAGAUAGAAACAGGCGGAAGCAUAAACCAACCAUUAUUUAGAUAGGCACAGAUGAACACAGACAAUGAAUAAAAUCUUACCUGAUCUCCCUCUGCAGGUUUUCCAGUACCCUCCCCAGAUCUGAGUACCGCUUUCAUCAAACUUCCAGGUAUCACUCUUUCCCUCCUGCAGACAAAAUGUAGCAAGUGUUUUACUAUUCUCGUAGUGACAAAAUAUAGCUAGUCAUAUCUUCAUAAUUCUGGAUGUUGUUACCUUAUAGUGAAAAUAUGCAGUAAAAAAACAAAACCUUCCUAUAGUGACUUGUUCUAGACUUCUAGUCAUGCAUUAUUGACCAGCACUGUACCUUUCCAAAAACAAAUGCCAAGCAAGUGAUAUGGUUGAGUUAAGGUUAACCUUGUCAAAAUACCAAGUUAGCUCCUCUCAAGGGGCAAAGGAAUUUGUAAUUUAAAGCAGAAAAUGGUAGAAUUACAUGAUGCAUCCUCCGAGUAUGAGCAUUUACCGAACGCAAUUUUCCCUGUAGUGUCGUAUAUCACUUUCUUUUCAUCACACCAAAUGAGAAAUCCAUAGAUAAUUGUUCAUUUCCAUGCACACCUGCUAGACAACAGGUGAUAUUUUUUCCGACAUUUCACAUCGUGAGUAGAUGCCAUCUACUAAUCUACUUGCUUGGCAUAGUAUCGGCCGGUAUCUCAUCUUUUAACCAGGUGAAAUAUGAUCCUACUCAACAAGCUCCGGCCCUUAAACUAUGCUCAAAUUAUGAAAUACUAAUGUUUGAUACGACACAGAUGAAAUCUGCUCGGCAACAACACAAAAACAAAAAAACAAAAAAAGAAGUAAACCUCAUUUAACUUGAUGAGAGUAAAAGCUUGACUUGUUUGCUCGUUGAACUAGCAAACUAGUCAAGCUUAAAGAUUUAGUCCAAAUCUUAAGUGCUACUAUGAUCUUUCGGCGAAAUUGAGAAGAAAUUCGGAUAAUUUCGUGCAAAAAAAUAAAAACAAAAUAAAAGAUUGAUGAUAGAGAGAGGGAUUGAGGAGGAACCUCUUCUUCUCGGCUUCUUCCACGGAUUUCUUCUUCUUGGGCGCGAAAUCUUCCUCAUUCGACAUGGCGAUUGUUCCUCUCUCUCUCUCUCUCUCUCAAAUCCCUCUCUCAAAUCCCUAGCGGGCGACGGGAUUAGGGCAUCAUCGGAGCAGAGAGAGAGAGAGGAUGGGAAGAUCGGGAAAGGAGAAGGGUUCGACAGAAUCUAUGGCUUGGGAGCGGAAGUAGUGACACUUCAACCGUGGCGGAGCGGGCGGUCGAACCAUCCGGAGCGGGUGAGAAACGCGAGCCCACUAACCGCUCCUUUGUGGAUCGUGCGGAUAAGGCGACCCGGCACCCGUUUAACCGAUAGCGGGAUUACUCAAGGAUCCAGCUAGCAUCAGAUGGCAGCUCAUACGAGUUUUUCCUCGAUUUAUCACUUUUGCUGUAUUAGCCCUCAUAGACUAAGCUUUUACAUUUCAGCACAAGUUGUCAAUUAGUACAAAUACCAAGAUAAUAAGAUGUAAUGUAAGCAGGACAUGAAUAGAAUAUUGAAUCUGCUUUCUACCUCAAUUAUCCUUCUUCUUCUCUAAUCUUCUCCUUCCCCCUCUCAUCUCUCCCCACUCUUUUCUAUUUUCUUCUAAAAUCCUACUCUCUUCCUCCCAAUCUCACUCCUUAUCUCUUCCCAAACUCACCCCCAAAUCACCCUCAACCCAUCUGGAACAUCACAGCGAAUUACGCCCAAAUUCUAGACAGGACGAGCAGCAGGUGGGCGGAGAUGCAUUGGCGUGCCGCUACAACGGCAAUUCCUAUGCGUUGCAGGGGUGCUUAAAUUUUAUUAUGCAACUUUCAUUCCAGUCAAAAUAACGGAAGUGAAAAUACGCUUGCUGGAUAAUUAGCCGUCUCACAAUCACGGGUCGGCAAAGCCUCUGCGAGGUCGCUAGCUAGGUAGUAACUGUGCCGCUUCUACCAAGUCAUCACGAACCUCAUCAGUAAUUGUGCGCCACGUGUGCUGCUUAAUUGUUAAUCUUUCUCUCUGCCUCAAAAUUUUCAUUCUUUAAUUUAACGUACAAUUAUGUGCAAAUUUUUUGGGCCGAAUAAUCUCUCUCUCCCUUUUUUUUGUGCAGUAAUAGUGAUAGUUAACAGUCAUCGCCUAUUGUCUAAUUAUUUUAUAGAAACUUAGGUUGGAUGUACAAUAGAUUAGCAGGUAAUUUAUAAUGGUAUUAAUUUUUGUUUCAAGCUGAUCAGCAUCUUGAAAAUUCGAAAUACCAAUUAUAAUAGAUGCUAAGUUAUUAAUGACGAUAUUUUAUAAUGCAUCACUGCAUGUUCAUCAGGUUAGAUGUCAAUACUCAAUAGCGCCUUGGCCCAAUCCUUUUAAUUGUAAGACCCGUUUGAUAGAUGUCACGCCGUGUGGGGGUUUCGAGUCAAAUUGGGCCCAUUAGCAGUUAAAAGAAUUAAUUAAGAAAGUAUUACAGAAAACUCAGAUGACCCUUGCAUUAAAAAAAAACUUUUUAAAAAAAAAAUGAGUCAUACAAUUUUUUUUGAUUAAACAGGGAUGAACCCUAUUUUACAGCUGGGACUAGAAGUGCAGAGUAACAAGAUAAGAGCACAUCCACAUCAAAUAGGAAGAAACAGAGAACACAUCGACCCACUAUCAAAAUAGUACGAUUGUACCUAAUUGCUUGAGCUAACUAAGACUGAUUUCCAAAAAGAUACAGUAUCGAGAAUGGUUCUUCCCAGAAUAUCGUAUCGAACUUGCCGAUUGUCGAAGAUUCUUCUGUUUCGCUCUUUCCAAAUUUCCCAACAUGUUGCUGCAAAGCCAAGAUCGAUGUUGAUUAUAUUUUCGUCUGGUACCGAUCGCCUCAUUCUUCUCCAUCGUGCUGCAAUUCCUUCCACCCUGCUAUUUCUCCAAACAUGGUUGGUUGAGGUUGAAGUCAUCAACCAAUUCCACACUGAGCUUGCAUAAAUGCAACGAAACAUAAUAUGUUCCAGAGAUCAACCUCCAAAUGGCAAAAAACACAUACUGUCGGACUGUGCCAUCCUCGUUUCAUAAGGUUGUCUGUCGUCAAAACCUUAUUUCGUUAAGCAAGCCAAAUAAAAAACUUGACUCUGAGCGAAAUUUUAAGUUUUCAUAGAAAAUGGAGGUUGUAGUUGUUUAUCCCAUCAUAUAUUAGGAAUUUGGACGCACUUUUUACUGAAAAUCUUCCAGUGCUACUCCAUCUCCAAGUUAGUGAGUCGCGUCUGUCCGUUGAAAGGGCCAAGUUAUUAGACAGCAGCGAUAACUGUUGGAGUUCAAGUUGCUCCUGAGGGUUGCAGGGAAAGUUGAAACCCAGAUUUUGUCGAGUUGCAAAACGGCGGGUCCAAGUGCUGACUGUAAUCUGGGAAUUUGGUAGAGGCAGCAUAUAGGAUCAGGAAGCGAUUCCGUAGAGGGGCUUCUCCACACCAUCGACCACUCCAAAAGGGAGUUUCCUUACCGUCGUGAAGUAUGAAAUCGACCAAAGUGAGGAAGGGGGCCUGUAGCCUGAUCAUACCUCGCCAAAUGGGGCAACAGCCGUUAGGUGUAUGGCUAGCAACCGCAGUCAGUCGUCGUUUAUAAUGUUUCUGUUUCAACAGAUUGACCCAAGGUAGAGUUGGAGCAGUAUAAUACUUCCAAAGGCCCUUCAUCAGUAAGGACGAGUUCGCCAUCUGUAGGUUUUUGAUCUCGAUCCCCCCUACACUUUUUGGGCGACAAACAUGGUUCCAAUUAGCAAGGCAAUGGAACCCAUUAGUCUUGUAUUUUCCUUUCCAGAAGAAUCCUCUCUGAACCCUUUCAAUUGCUUUUAUAACCCAAACUAGAAGAGCAAAAGCUAAGUAAAAGUAAGUUGGUAGGGAAGAGAGGACGGAGUUAAGCAAUAUUAUGCGCCCUCCUCUGGAUAGAGAGGCGCUCUUCCAACCAGCUAGGCGCUUAUCAAUGUUCUCAAUAAUCGGCAGGUAAUCAACUCGACGAAGAUUCUUAAGAGAGAGUGGUAAUCCAAGGUACGACAGGGGGAAUGGUUGUAAAGGAAAAUUGAAAAUAUUGGAUAUACCAGUGGCCUGAUCCUCAGAAAUAUUAAUAGGUGUCAAGAAGCUUUUGUCAAAGUUGAUCUUGAGUCCCGAACAAAUGGAGAAGGCUUCAAGGAUGGACUUGAUGGUAGUCGCUGAUCUGAUGGAGCCGUCGAAGAAAAGGAGGACGUCAUCCGCAAAAAUGAUGGAGUGGAUUUUAACAUCACCUAUACCAACCGUAGGUAGAUGUGCAGAAAAGACCGCUUUUUUCAUUAAUCUGAAAAGAACGUCGAUACAAAGGAUGAAUAGAAGAGGAGAUAGGGGAUCUCCCUGUCUGAGCCCUCUUUUAUGAAUGAAUGUUCUGCCUGGAACUCCAUUAAGAAGCACUGCCGAAGUGUUAGAACCUAGCAGAUCGGAGAUCCAACCAAUCCACUUUUCGCUAAAGCCCCUAGCUUUGAAGAGCUCGAGGAGGAAGGUCCAAUUAAUUUGAUCAAACUUCUGCUGAAAGUCAAUCUUUAAAAUGGCUGCCGAGGUUUUUGAAACAUUGAGAUGAUGGAUAAGGAUGUGAGCGCAGUAGAAGUUAUCGAGGAUGUGACGCCCUUUGAUGAAAGCCGCAUGAAACAGAUUAAUCAGCUGGUUCAUGACUGAUUGGAGACGUGUGGCUAGCACUUUCGAGAUAAUUUUGCCGAGAUUGUGAAUUAAGCUAAUCGGGCGUAGGUCUAAUGCCAAUAGGAUAGUCGGAUUUUUGGGGGUUGGGCAGAUCCAACCACUAUUCAGUCUACUCAAAUACGAGGAACCUUGGUAAAAACUUUCGAAGACAUCCAUAAUAUCCACCUUCAAGAGGUGCCAAAAGCAAUAGUAGAAGAGUAACGGGAAACCGUCGGGUCCCGGAGCCUUGUCUGGCGCAUAGGAAAAAAUACCUGACUUCACUUCAUCAGGCGAGAAAGGAUUGUGGAGAAAGGACAGAUCAACUUCAGGCUCACUAUAGAUUGAGGAAAAGGAGAUAAUCGCGGCAGGUGAAUGCACAAAACCUAGCUGAUUUUGGAAAAAGGCGAACAAGUGGUUAGCAAUAGAAUCGGGAGAGGAGAGAAGAUUAGUACCAUCCGAGAGCUGUGAAAUAUUGUUUACGCUUCUGCGGCAGCUAGCCCGGAGAUGGAAGAACUUCGUAUUUGCAUUCCCCUCCCGAAGCCAUCGGACUCACAACCUUUGUUUUCAUUUUAUUUCCUCGAAGAAACAAAGUUCUUGAUAUCUAACUUUAAGCUUAGGGCGGAGGCUGCAUUCAAGGGGCGAUAACGGUCUUCUUUCUUCAGCUGAAUCAAGCCAUUCUAACCAUUACAGACAGGAGUUGGUUUGUUGAUUAAGAGCGGAAGAGAAGCCCUUGCUCCAAAUGAUCAGAGCCUUUCGCAACCCAUCGACUUUAGAGCUGAAGCGGCUGAUCAGCUCCGAGGAAGAGUUCACCAAGUUCCAAGCGUUGGAUAUGACCUCGAACACGGAAGGACAACGUAGCCAGAAAGACUCGAAUCUGAAAAAACUCGGAGUGGGUACAAAUGUAAAGGCGGAUAGUACCAGUGGAGUAUGGUCUGAUCUCGGGCAUAGAAGAGCUCUAAGGGUGGAGCGUGGGAAGUGAAGAAACCAGUCCUGAGAAAUGAGAGCACGGUCAAGGCAUUCAAGGGUAGGAAUAUUCCUGCUAUUGGACCAAGUAAAUGAUUUAUUCUGAAAAGGAAGAUCGAAGAGUCUUGUAUCAUUCACUACUUCCCUGAAAGCCAAAAUAUCAGAGAUGUUAGAGGGAGUUCUAUUUUUGUCCUGUAGUGAGAGGAGGACGUUGAAGUCACCUAUGGCUACCCACAAGCCUCGGGAUAGAUGGCUGGUGUUUCGGAAUUCUUCGAAGAAGGUAGCUUUGGAAUUGUUUCCCGUGGGGCUGUAGACAUUGGUAAUCAGAAAAAAUCGACCGUCAGCCUUACGUCUAAGCAGGACAUUAAGCAUAUGAGAACCGGCCCAGUGUUGUAUACAAUCAAAGAGAAAGUUGUUUCAAGCAGUGAGAAUGCCGCCUCGAGUCCCUGCAGCAUCGACAGUACGAAAAUCCUGGAGAUGGUAACCACAAAACAACCUAAAUUUUUCCAAAGAGGUUGAGUAUAGUUUGGUUUCUUGAAGACACACCACUGAUACUUUACUAAAGCGAAUGGUAGAUCGUACAAUGGUACAUUUGGCCUGGUCGUUUGGGCCUCACACAUUCCACGACAAAAAGUGAAAUAUUCUAUUUCUAGCCAUAGAAAAAUGAAUAAAGCACAACUCCAAGAAGGAGUCGAGGAUCAGACCUCGUUCAUGGCUGGAUUGUCGCCAUACACACCCACUUGCGGAACGGCAACAAUCGCCUUAGACGGCUCCAUCUCCCUAAUUGAGAUACCACAGGAAGAUAAAAUUUUCUUGAUAUCUUGUUCAUAAAGAGGGUGAGCCGGAUCCGUAAUGAGGAGGGGCUAUGCCUCUAGGAGAUCGUCAGAGAGUGGAAUAAGGGAGGAGGGCUCUGUGGGCGCCGGAGUUCACAGCCUUCUAUAGAAGGAUUUCAUAGUUUUUAGCUUCGAACACAUGAGAUCUUGAGCUCUUUGAAGCGAGCUUUUGUUAAUACCCCUGUUCUUCUAGGCUAGCCGGGAGCUGCGUCUGAAGGAUCUAAGAGUAUUUGUUGAGAGUUUGAAGGCCUGUGAAAUAGGCAGCAGUGGGCUCACCAUCUCAGGGCCCACGACUACCAUGGGGACAACCCCUGGAGAUGUUCGCCCACGAGGACAGGAGUCGAACACGGGUAGAGGUGUCAAGACAGGCUGGUGGGCCAAGUCAACCUCAGGUCGGGAAAGGUUCAUACCACGAGAAAAAUCUCCACUGUGAUUCGAUGGGAUAGGUGCGGUCGAGGAAUAGUUGGAGGAAAAUCCUGNGCUUGCAAUGUACGCCCACGAGGACAGGAGUCGAACACGGGUAGAGGUGUCAAGACAGGCUGGUGGGCCAAGUCAACCUCAGGUCGGGAAAGGUUCAUACCACGAGAAAAAUCUCCACUGUGAUUCGAUGGGAUAGGUGCGGUCGAGGAAUAGUUGGAGGAAAAUCCUGCUGUCUUGUCUUUGUCUGCCCUGUCACAAUCCGCGCAGAGAGUAGCUGUGCUAGGGUACGGGAGCAGAGUAGGCAGCUUUGGUGAAAGUGAAUUGGAGUUCGAAUUCGAAUUGCCCGUUGUACCCUGUCGGACCUCUCUACCGCUAUGAUUAGACUCCGAGCAUCUCCGGCGAUGGUCCGAUCUAGCAUUAUCUUGGGAGCCAUAGGGCCGCUCCUGGGAACGUCUGGUAGGAAUCGAAUUGAACCCCGUCAGCCGGAUGAAGUAGUCUUGGGCUUCCGUUGUCUCCAACCCAAGAUGUUCAUCCAGGCCUUCACUAAGCAAGAUAGGAUUCGCAUUUUUCCAUGAUUCGAUUUCGAUUACAAUCCUGAAUCUUCGGUCUUCCACCAUAAGAUUAAGAAUCUCUGGGAUGGAGGAGAUGUCCCGACAGCGGAUGUUGGCCCGAAAGGAAGAGACAUCCUCUCUCCUUUCGUUGAGAGGGUCAAUCUCCCAAAGCUCACUAAAACCACUAACUGCCGCUUUAACAUCCUCUUCGUUCCAACACAGGAUCGGCCAAUGGCGAAGCCUAAUCCAUACCUUGUGGCGAAUAUGCCCUCUGUCAAGCUCGGCCGUCUCGGUCCAGUUGGAGAGCUUAAAAUCCAAAUCGUCGAAUCUGAAGGGGCUUCUACUGAUGGCCGAUUCCCUGAUGACUCAGUUGAGGAGGAAGACCGCCAGGAAAAGGGCAUCAGCAUUGGCCACCAAGUAAUCUCUGUUGGAUUCUCUAAAUCUAGCCGUGAGGCCUUGUGGAAAAACUUGUUUAGCACUUCCAACAGGCGGGAUGAGGACUUCUGCUAAGGCAACACACCCAGCCAGCGGGGGAAGUCCGGUUUGGGGCGGUCUAGAGAGGAGAAAAGCGCGAUGGCCUCUCUUAAAGCACCUAAAGUAGCGGCCUUUGAGCGAAGUGUUGAGAAGGUAUUUGGGGGGAUUAGACGGUAGGGUAGACAAGGUGUAGCGAACACGACGGUAGGUGGGGGGAGUAAAUAUGGGGUGGGGUUUCAAGAUAGUGUCCUUAAACGAGAACUCCUGUCUGACACGUGACUCGAUAUGUGAACCAGGGGGAGCCUUGGGAAAAGUAUGGGGAGGGGAGAAUUGAGGCACAGUAAAGUGAGGGUCGCGGAGACCAGCACGACGGGGGGGGAGAAAGGUGGGGGCCAAAGUGUCGGGAGGAAGAUGGGUGGGGUACAACGCGUCGGAAGUAGGGAAGGUGAAGGUCAACCCGCCGGGAGAAAGUGCGAUGGGGAGAUAGGCGGCGCAGAGGGCGGAGAGGGGAGCGUGCUGCGAGGCGAGUAAAGAAGCACGGAGCCAUUCUUUUUUUUCGAUUUUUUAUGUAAUUAAUUAGUCAUACGGUUUUCAGAAUCAUUAUCCAAAUAAAAAGAAAAUAGUAAAGCGUGAAUAUAAACUAAAAAUCUGUUGAACUACAUCACAAGCGGGGUGCAACUAGUGCGCAGGACGAUGCGGUGCACAAAGGAGCGUGCAACAAUUUCUGGGCUAUAGGAGGUAAGGAUGACGAUGGGCUCACGUCGAGCAAAAUUUGUUUCUUUUUUAAAGAUUUGGGCCUUCGCGAGGUGUUAGCAGUCCAAUGGCUCCAAGGCCGUAAUAUGGUUCGCACGAGCUAGCUUUGUCGGACUAGUGCUUCUUCUAUUAAAGCUAAAGCAGGUCAUGAUGUGGUACUCAUCUAGGAGCUUCAUUAGCCUCCCACCAUCUUAUUAUAUAAAAUUAACAUGCAUAACCGGUAAAGCUAUGCAUAUCAUGCGGUACAUAGAGAAAGUGUAGAGUAAGCCACUGAUUCUCUCUACUUGCUUGCAUUGCUAGUAAUUGCGAGUCUCAUCGUGCUGGUCCGGAGGGUCGAAGGAGCUGGAGAAUGUAGGAAAGUUUCAGCAGAUAAAAUGGCUCCAAGGCUGGCACCGUGCCUGGCGGCGGCGCGAGAUCUACGAGCACCUGUUUCGCCGAGCUGCUGCGCUGUAGUGCACAGGCUCGGGCGAUCUCCGCGUUGCCUCUGUGCUGUCAUGCUGUCUAACACGGCUAAGAGCACCGGAAUCAAGCCGCAGGUGGCAAUGACCAUACCCAAGCGCUGCAACCUCGCCGAUUGCCCCGUGGGCUACAAAUGCGGAGGUGGGUACUUUUCUUCCCAUCAUGAAUGUUUGGUUCGGCAAUAUAAGAUUUCAUUGCAACAAAGUUUUUCCGCCGAGUUGAACUUGGUCUACUUUCUGUCCCACAUUGCAGGUUAUACUUUACCUUGAAGAGUAGAGAGGUGAGGAAUAAGCAACGUUGGCAACUCGCUGGAUACAGAAUAUGAUGUGCGGUUUAUAGAUCCUUUAGUGCAUGAAAAAAAUAAGAGCGUCUUACCGUGUUCCUAUGGAUGGGUCAUAUAUAACUACUUUGUUUUGAUCCAUUUGGUAACCAUGGAAACUGCUUCUGAAACUUUUGUAUUGAGCUAAUGAACACAACCAUGCGCUACGGAAACAAGCACGACGUCAUGUUGUCAUAUGACGUGCCACUAAAGAAAAGAAAGCUACUAAACACCUUCAUAACAUCAGCAAUUCUUUUGUAGUCAUCAAAGUCCAAAACAAAUAUCUGCAUUUAUUUUCCAAUACUAGUUGCAACACAAUUGUCUGCUGGAAUAAAAGUAACAUACAAAACAAUAAAAGGGUCUUAUAGCCUCGCUUCAAUAAUUUGGAGGCAAAGACCAAACACAACCUACUACAUUGAGACAAUCUAAGAGCGGUCUACAGUUUUCAUAGAGUAGAGACAGUUCAUGUUAAGUCAUUAUCCUAAAACAUAACAGAAAGAAUAUAUGGUAGAUGGUUCCUCUAGGUUGAUAUCUAAAACAUGAAAGAAGAAGAAACUAUUGCUGCAGGUUGGAUGACUUGAGAGCAAAGCAGCUUUACCAAAGCACCUCCUCAUGCAGCUGUCAAUAGUAACCUAGAAGAAAAAAGACUAAAGUAGCUGUUAAGGAAUUGAAGUACACAAAAAUUGAAAAAGGCAAACGUCUGGUCCACCAGCAAAGGUCCAAGGUAGAAAAUGUUGGCUUAAAUUAAUGGGCUAGCAUCUUGCCCUGUGGCGGGAAGCCAUGUGUGGACCGAGUCAUGUUCGACAUGACGUCAGGCUAGGUUGGCCCAAGUCAUGUUCGAAGUGGCGUGAGGCCGGUUGGGCCGAAUCACAAUCGAGACUCGUGGGCGCUGUAUUUGUAUGAUUUAAGUGAAUUGGUUGCAUAUUUCCAACAGCUCGAGCUUUUGAGAUUAAUGGUUAGUGCCAACAAUCUGACAGAAAAUGUUCAAAUAUCUGGUGAGGUCAGAAGAGAACAUGGGAGUAGUAGUCUAUAAUCACCACCAUCAAGAGCUUAGUCUAAUAGCAAUUUGUGAAGCAACUGUUUUCUCUAGAAGCUUGAGAGAGCAUCAUCUUCUAAGCAGUUCGUAGUUCUUUUAUCAAUGGAAGGUCACAGUUCUUUUAUUAAUGGAAGGUUACUAUCAGUGUGCUAGUAGUUCAAGUUUGCAUACCAAUUCCUUCUUUACUAAAAUGAGGGUCAUUCUAAUUACUAACCGUAUAACAAAUAAUCCAAUUAUAACUACUAACUGUGGACCCUGAAAAUGUACGUGAGACACUAUAAAUAAGAAAAUAAUUUUCGGUAAAAAACUGCACAAAGUUGUAAUCACUCUCAAGUACAUGUAAGAGAACAAUUAUGCAUCCAAAGAAAAUGGCAUCACGACAAAUGACUAGAAUAAUUACUACCGCUAUACAAGAAAACUAACACUAAAAAUGACAAUAUUGUCUCCUGAGAGCGAGUAUGCCAUUAUCUAGAAAAAUAACAACAAUCAUUCUAAGGUGAGAGUAUCCUGAACGACAGGCUCCCAAACAUCCAAGCCUCGGUGGACAGUAGAGUAAUGCGGGCAGAGCUUCUAGAUCUCCAACAUAAGCAAAAGUGCCUCAAAGGACUUACACUUCUAUCUACUCUUUAGUGGUCGAUCUGGAUUGAGCGGAACAACAUAAUCUUCCGAGACAAUUGUUCAUAUCCAUGCACACCUGCUAGACAACAGGUGAUUUUUUUUCGACAUUUCACAUCAUGAGCAGAUGCCAUCUACUAAUCUACUUGCUUAGCAUACUAUCAGCCGGUAUCUCAUAUUUUAACCAGGUGGAAUAUGAUCCUACUCAACAAGCUCAAGCCUUUAAACUAUGCUCAAAUUAUGAAAUACUAAAGUUUAAAAUGACGCAGAUGAAAUCUGUUCAGCAACAACACAAAAAAAAAAAGAAAGAUAAGUAAACCUCAUUUAACUUGAUGAGAGAAAAAGCUUGACUAGUUUGCUCAUUGAACUAGCAAAAAACUAGUCAAGCUUAAAGAUCUACUCCAAAUCUUAAGUGCUAUUAUGAUCUUUCGGAGGAAUGAUAAGUAUCAUUUUAACGCGCGAGCAAUUGUAAUGCCUUUACACGAAAUUGAGAAGAAACUCAAAAAAAUUCGUGCAAAAAAAAUAAAAAUAAAAUAAAAGAUUGAUGAUAGAGAGAGGGAUCGAGGGGGAUCCUCUUCUUCUCGACUUCUUACGCGGAUUUCUUCUUCUUGGGCGCGAAAUCUUUCUCAUUCAAUAUGGCGAUUGUUCCUCUCUAUCUCUCUCUCUCUCUCUCUCUCAAAUUCCUAGCAUUCAAUGGCGUUUUCUUUUUAGAGUGUGCGAAUUAUCCCCUGAUUCUAGACAGGACGAGCAGCUGCAACGGCAACAGCAAUUCCUAUAGGUCGCAAGGGUGCUUAAAUUUUACUAUGCAACUUCUAUUCUAGUCAAAAUAACGGGAGUGGAAAUAUACUUGCUGGAUAAUUAGCCGGCUCACAAAUCACAAUCACAGGCCGGCAAAGCCUCCGCGAGGUAGCUAGCUAGGUCUGUUGAACUACAUCACAAGCGGGGUGCAACUAGUGCCCAGGACGAUGUGGUGCACAAAAGAGCGUGCAACAAUUUCUGGGUUAUAGGUGGUAAGGAUGACGUUGGGCUCACGUCGAGCAAAAUUUGUUCCUUUUUUAAAAUCAUUUGGGCCUCUGCGAGGUGUUAGCGUUCCAAUGGCUCCAAGGCCGGAAUAUGGUCCGCACGAGCUAGCUUUGUCAGACUAGUGCUUCCUCCAUUAAGGCUAAAACAAGUCAUUAUGCGGCACUCAACUAGGAGUUUCGUUAGCCUUCCACCACCUUAUAUAUAUAUAAAUUAACAUGCAUAUCAUGUGGUACAUAGAGCGAGUGUAGAGUAAGCCACUGAUAGCAACAAUGAGGUCUCUCUACUUACUUGCAUUGUUAGUAAUUGCGAGUAUCAUCGUGCUGGUCUGAAGGGUCGAGGGAGCCGGAGAAUGCGGGAAAGUUUCAGCGGAUAAAAUGGCUCCGAGCCUGGCAGCGAGGCAAGAUCUGCGAGCACCUGUUUCGCCGAGCUGCUGCGCUGUAGUGCACAGGCUCGGGCGGUCUCCGCGCUGCCUCUGUGCUGUUAUGCUGUCUAACACAGCUAAGAGCGUCGGAAUCAAGCCGCAGGUGGCAAUGACCAUACCCAAGCACUGCAACCUCGCCGAUCGCCCCGUCGGCUACAAAUGCGGAGGUGGGUACUUUUCUUCCCAUCAUGAAUGUUUGGUUCGGCAGCAUUAGGUUUCAUUGCAACAAAGUUUUACCUCGAGGUGAACUUGGUCUUCUUUUCGUCCCACAUUGCAGGUUAUACUUUACCUUGAAGAGCAUAGAGGUGAUGAAAAGCAGCGCUGGCAACCUGAUGGAUACGGAAUAUGAUGUGCCCUGUAUAGAUCCUUUAGCACAUGAAUAAAUAAGAGCGUCUUACCGUGUUACUAUAGAUGUGUCAUAUAUGGCGACUUUGUUUUGAUCCAUUUGGUGAUCGUGGAAACUACUUCUGAAACUUUUGUAUCGAGUUAAUGAAACUUAUCUUUAAAAACACUAUACUAGAGGAUUUGUAUGAAAUUUUUCCUAACAAAUGGGCCAAAAGCGAACAAAUGGGUGGUUCAGGUAAAACCCAAAAAAGGCAAAAAAAAAAAAAAACACUUUAUUAGGAAACCUGUGACCCACGGCAACAUGUUAAUUUUAUCUACAACCAAUAAUUCGUUCGAAGAGUCUUAAUUCAUUGUUAUCUGUUAGUUUUAUCUCCAUUCAAAAAUAAUAUAUAUUUUUUUUCUAAACUUAAAAAAAAUAAAAAAAGAAAAGGUUAUAAUCUCUGGAUAGAGAUAAAAUUGACCGGUGACGACGAAUUAGGGUGUCUUAGAAAAGUGUCAAAUGAGAGCUCCCCACUAAAGUUAUUGUCCAUAAAAAAGCAAAUCGGAGAAAAAAAAAGGUUAAGUCUAUAAAUUUAGCUCCCCGUAAAUAUAAAUAUACUCCUACAAAGUUAAUUUUUUAUAUUUAUUUUUAUAAAAGUCCAGUAAUAUUUAUAUUUGUUCCUUUGGUUUGUUAAUGUUGGAGCGACGUUUAUAUUUUAACAGAAUAUAAGUAAUGACAUUUUUUUUCUAUCACAAAUAUAUUCUUCCAAAAGCCCUAAUUAUUGGAAUUAUGCAAAAAUAUUUUCUCAAAAAUUUUCAAUAGUAUCUUUUUUUUCUACCAUCACAAAUAAUAUAAAAAUGGUAAAAUGGUCAAUUUACUUCAUACAAUAUAUUUUUCUAAUAGAUCCUAACAAUAAAGGUCUAUUUGAAAAUGUUAGAACUUUUAUAGAAAUAAAUAUGAAAAAUUAUACUUUGGAGGAAUAUAUCUACUGUUUGAUAGAGAGUUGUAUGCAAUUAAUCUAAAAAAAGCAAAACAAAAAUAAAAAGAAGAAAGGCUAAAUUACAUAAAACCUUCUGUCAAAAUUUGAUUUUUCACUCCCCCCAUUAUUUAAAAAUCUACACUUUGCCUCCUUGUAAAAUAAAAAAUGUUCACAGAAGGGUACGGUGUGAACUGUGAUGACAAAAUGACUAUUUUGCCCCUCAUCAUUUUUGUCUCCUCUCUCACCUUGCUCAUCCGCUGCCUCAAUCGGCCGUGGUUCUUGCCUCGAUCGGCCGCGGUUUCUCUCAAUUUUCUUCUCCACCUGCUCCCCUUCUCCUCCUGCACCCUCGUCGUCCCUCCAUUUCGGCGACGGUAGGAAGAAAAUCGAAGUGGGCGUGAGUGUAGAGGUGGGUAAGGGCAAGAGGAAGGCGAGGCGACGGAGGAGGGCGAGGGGGUGUUUGUGGGCGCGGACGGACAUGUGGGUUAGGUCGAGGAAGUGGAGGAGGGCGAAGCAACAGUAGAGAGAACAGAGGGUAUUUUUGAUAUAAAAAAAUAUUUUAUAAUAGAAUCUUAACGGAUCACUAAUGGUAGGUGGUAAAGUGAAUAUGUUUCAUUUUACAAAAGAGUAAAAUGCAGAUUUUUAAAUACAAAUAAAGAAAAAUAAAAAAAUCAGAAUUUAACAAAAAGAUUUUCUGUAAUUUAGCCACGAAGAAAAGAUGAAAUUGGAAACAAAUUUCUCCUGUGAGAGAGAAGAAUCUCUCUCUCUCUCUGUGGAAUCUUCCUCUACAAAUUCCCCCCUCUCUCUCUCUCUCUCUUCUCCUAUUUAUUACCCAUCUCCACUCUUCUCAAAUCAAUUUAAAGAGGAGAAAAAACCAAAACCAAAAAAAAAAAAAAAAAUCACACACACAUACACACACAUACACACACAUGUCUACCUUAUCAAACAAUCACACACCUGAGAGGUAAUUUUUGGCUUCUGAUUCUUUUUUUUUCUUUUUUUUUCUCCAUUUAUUUUGAUGGUCCACAUCUUUUUUUUUUUUUCUUUUUUCUUGUGGGAUAUUUGAUGCUAUUCUUUUGGAAAUGAGGAGACAAAAUUAACUGAUCUAAUUUCGAUCGAUAUACGGAUCAGAUUUAUUGAAUUUGGUUCGAUUAAUCGAACAACAAUUGUUUGUUUAUGUGGUUUUACGGCGUAUUCGAAUUUUGGGCCGUGAUUUUUUAAUUGCCUUUUUUUCCCCCUUUUUUUGGGGGUCUAUUUAAUCUAUUUGAUGCGUUUGGUGAAAUUCGUUGAUGAAUCCGUCAGAGGAUUAGGUUGUAAUAGUGAUUUUGAUUUUUUCCUUUUUUUUGAGGGAUCUAUCUAAUCUAUUUGAUGUGAUAAAGUACUUUUCUCCUUUGAUUAUUAGAGAGUAAUAAUUUGGGAUCAAUUUUUGGUCCAAAUGCAUGCAAUUUUACUAGACUUUAGAUGAGGAGUUUUAUAUAUAUAUAUAGAUUAAGAUGAGAAUUUACUUCUUAAGGAACCAAUAUUUGCAGAAAUUAAUCCCCGGAUCCUUCUAAAUUGUAAUCUGAAGACCUUUUUUUCUUUUUAUUCAUAAUUUGAUCUUCAAAUUCUUCGAAAUUGAAGUAAUUUAUAACAAUUGUCGAAUUUAAAUUCAUAGACAGACCAUCAUUUGGAUUAAAUUUCUAUGCUUUUUGAAUUCUCGAGUUUGAUUUUUAUUCGUGAUUUGGUGGGAUAGCGUAUUUUGCAUACGACUCCGAAUAAAAUGACUAGAGGAUCAAAUUUAGAUCAAAAACUACUGCAGUUCCAGUAAAUUAAAGAGAUAUAUCGAAUGAGAUAAUUAUGCAUUGAAACAGAGGCCUAAAAGUAUUGCCCUAGUAAUUUAGGUUUAAUCUAUGUAUUGUGAUCGUCGUUAACUAGUCGGCGAGAAACUAGUUUAUGCAAUACAUCGACUCGCGUCGUGUAAAUCACAUUAUCACAAAGUUCUCCUGUGUUUGGAUUCUUUGGAACACUUGUUUUUCCCUUAUAAGGCAUCUGAAUGGUGUAUUACAGUGCGAGUCAGGAACCUGUUGUUGGAAAUAGAUGUUUUUUUUUUCAGCAAUAGAACAGCAGAUGUUCGCAAUUAUGCCUGCAUCGUGUAAUUCAUUCCCGGGUAGUUUAGUGCUCAGGAUUCUGUAGCGGUGCUUCAGUAAGCAUAAUCGUUCUAGAAAGGGUGAAAGUGUUUCGCGAGUAUAACUAAUUGUAGCAAUAUGAAGUUUUUGCUAUGCUUUUACAUGUUGAAUCGAGUAUGAUAGUUACUAGAAUUGUUUUGUGAUCAGAUUUGAGUCGUUCGUUUCCGUUCUACCUUAAGAAAGCACUUACUGGUUUCUGGAAUUUAUCUCAGCUCUCUCGCUAAACUCGCUCCGCUUGAGGCGGUGUUAUUUGAUAUCGAUGGAACCUUAUGUGAUUCGGACCCUCUUCAUUACCUGGCGUUCCGCGAAUUGCUUUUAGAGGUACCAACACCUUUUCCGUUCUAAUUUAUGCGGCAAAUUAUUAUCUUGACCAAAGAUUUGAGAUAUCUUUGAUUAAUUGCAGAUUGGGUACAAUAAUGGCAACCCGAUCGAUGAAGAGUUCUUUAUUAAGAACAUUGCUGGAAGAAGCGACACGGAUGCGGCUCGCAACUUGUUUCCCGACUGGGAUCGUGAGAAGGCCAUGAAAUUCCUCGAUGACAAGGAAGCCCUUUAUCGGAAGUAUGUCGCCGCUCUUCUUUAACUAUCUAAUGUGCUUUUCCAAGUUAGUGAUGUAAAAAUAUACAUAAAAAUAUGUCGAAAACCCUUCAAGUAUAGGCCCCUUGGACACAACCUCAACUUUUGAUUUUUUUUGGGGGGAAUCUUAUUAAAUUCGUCAGUUCCAUCAAAUUUAAUAGCUUUAAUCGCUUUCUACGACAGAAACUAGAAAAUUAACGGUUAAUAGCCAAUAGAGUCAUUAGAUUUAACAAAAUUUCACUGUUGAGAUUUUACCGAAAAGAUAUCGAGCUUUUGGCCUGGAUAUGUUUAUAUUCUCUUUACAGAUUUUGUUUGGUGCAAAACCUGAACUUAACGAAAAACUGCUUUUCAGAUUUUGGACAAGAUUUUGCUGCGCAUUUUCUGAAUGCCUCUUUUGGAAAAACAAAAGCAGCGCAACCAAUUCCUUAUUAUUUUCAGAAACAUUUUUCAAUUCUCAAACCGAAAAUUGCAUUUAUUUUUCUUUUCUGCGACUUUUUUUUUCUCAAAUUAAGAUGUGUUCUGUACAAGUUUUGGACUGAAUAUGUGAAUUUUGAAUUCGUAGGUUGGCGCCUAAACAGCUGGUGGCGGUAAAUGGUCUCAACAAGAUAUGCAAAUGGGUCAGCGACCGAGGCCUGAAGCGCGCGGCGGUGACUAACGCUCCGAGGGCUAACGCCGAGCUCAUGAUCUCGAUCCUCGGUCUCACCGACUUCUUCCAGGCCGUAGUAAUCGGAAGCGAAUGCGAGCGCGCGAAACCGGCCCCUGAUCCUUACCUAAAGGCCCUGAAGGAACUCGAUGCUUCCCCUCAACACGCCUUUGUCUUUGAGGUUUGUUUGCUUCUUCCGACAGCAGUUAAAAUGCUACCAUAAAAACGUACAGAACCUAUCUGAUCUACGGACCAAUUUUUUAAUUUGUUUGAUUUGAGUCAGUUAACAGUAUUUUGACUUUAAAAUUUAAACUAAUUUCUUACUUUAAUGAAUUUAUCGUUGCGAGAGUUGCAUAAAAUAUACUAACUAAUCCUAUAACGAUAAACGACGCAUUCAAAUUUUGAAAUCAAAGUCCCGCUGACCGGCGCAAAUCAAACAACGUACAUAUUUACCUUAAAAUGAUCUAGUUGUUCAAAUUUUCUUAAAAAGAUCUACAAAUUUCAAGUUUUAACAUUUCAAUCUCAUUUUUCAUUGCUGUUAUCAGGAUUCGCCGUCGGGAAUAAAAGCCGGUGUCGCCGCGGGGAUGCCGGUGAUUGGCUUGGCGACGAGGAACCCAGAAAAAUCAUUACUUGAAGCAGGAGCAGUGUUCCUUAUAAAAGAUUAUGAGGAUCCAAAGCUUUGGAUGGCUCUUGAAGAGCUUGAGAGAGUGGAAGCUAAGUUGAAGGAGUAGAUCAAUAGCAGAAAUUUUGAACUUCUUUUGUUUUUUUUUUUUAAAAAAAAGCUAUUAAGAUGAUCUAUUUGAUGAUCAUAUUUAACUGUUGUUAUGAGUAGAUUGAGAGGACUUUAACAUGAUUAUUAUGCCCUCUUACUAUAAUUGCUUUUACUAAGUUAUCAUCAAAUGAUUGAAUAAACUCAGCAUUAUGUGCUGUUAUUUUUAUGCCUACAAAUUUAUUUGAAAUUUUUCUUAUUGUGGAUUGGAAUUAAUAAUGCAUGUUAUGGUGUGUGGUUUGCAAUGAUGAUGGGUUGAAUUGUAUGAAAAUCCCCUCAAUUAUAUAGGCUAUUUCAGAAGUACCCAACCAACUUUAGAUAUUUAUUGAGCCGUGCACAAGCGAUUUGACUCCAGCUUGUAUUUGGUUCAUUAAGAUUUUGAUAGCCGAACAUAAGCGAGUUGAUUCCAGCUUGUUUCUGGCUUAUUAAGAUUUCGAGCUGAAAAAUUUAGCUUGUGUUCGGCUUGUGUAUUAACGAGCUGAAUACGAGCCGAACAUUAGUUGGCUCACAAACAAUAAGUUAAAAGGAUUAGAAAGGAUACAUAUGGAAAAUAAAUUUAUGAGAUUGUACCCAUCAAGNUUCAGGCCAAACACGAAAAAAAUUUUUCCUUUUUUUUUUUUUUUUUGUGUAUAGCAAUUUAGACAUGUGGUUAUGAAUGUUGUCAAUCUUUUUCCAACUCUUUCCAACAAUCUUGUGUGGGUUGGUUGAGAUGGGACGGAUCCGUUUUGUCGGUUUCCCUCCGGAUACCAAACAACUCCGCCAACAACUACCCCUACCUACCAUCCACCACUACCUCUUGAUAUAUAAAAUUUAGUUGCCUCAAAUAAAGUUAAAUUCAUAUAUUUUAAUUUAUUUUUGAUGAUAAAAUAUUAUAACUAAUGAUUCAUAUUACGAAAUGUAUAUUCUAAAAAUUAAAACAUGUAUUUUUUUUGACUUUAUUUAUCCUUUAAUGAAAAUAAUAAUUGGAAGUUGAUUAAAUGUUAAUUAAAAAUAAAAAGAGGCUACUUUUAAAAUAAUCUAUUUGUUAAGAGUUCUCUAAACACUUUUCACCAAGUUUCUUUUUUAAAAGACUCAAGUAAACUAUUGUUUUUUUUUUAUCAAUUUUAAUAUUAUUGAACUAUUUUUUUUUCCCCAAUCUGUAUAUUGGUAUUAAUAGAUUUAUAAUUUUAGAAAGAACAGGACAACUUAUUAAUACACAUAGUUAGUACAAAAAAAGUAAAAUAAGCCUUCAAUAUAGCUUCCCUUUGGGCUUUUUUUGCAAAUAGCCCCUUGAUAAAUUUUUUUUUUUAAAUUGACCCUGUCAAAAUUUUAUUUAUAAAAAUGGCCAUGGCCCCGCCACGCAAGCGCCACGUCAGCGCCACGCGGGCGGGGCUGGACCAUGUGUUUAAGUUGAACACGGUGAACCAUUCACCGUGUUCAAUACAAGGUUUUUGUAUUGGACACGGUGAAUGAUUCACCGUGUCCAAUACAAAUACCUCCAACUUAGCCAAAAAUGACUAAGUUGUGGGUGUUUGUAUUGGACACGGUGAAUCAUUCACCGUGUUCAAUUAUUUGUAUUGGACACGGUGAAUGAUUCACCGCGUCCAAUACAAAUACCUCGCACUUAACCAUUUUGUAUUGGACACUGUGAACCAUUCACCGUGUCCAAUACAAAAACCUUGUAUUGAACACGGUGAAUGGUUCACCGUGUUCAACUUAAACACAUGGCCCAGCCCCGCCCGCGUGGCGCUGACGUGGUGGGACCAGGGCCAUUUUUGCAAAUAAAUUUUUGAUAGGGCCAAUUUAAAAAAAAAAAUUAGUCAGGGGGCUAUUUGCAAAAAAAGCCCCUUCCCUUUUAAUAUUUUUAUUAAGUUGUUUUAAUUAUCUUUUUAUGUCAUUUCUAUGUCUAUGUAUCUUCAUUUUUUUUAUCUCAGCAUAUAUCAAAUUUGCAACUCUAUGAUUCUAUUAUGUUGCUUAUAGAUAACUUUAUCUAUAAAUUUAUUUUUACAAAUUUAUUUUUAUAUUUUUACAAAGUUUUAUAACUAUAUGUUGGAAUAAUAAUCCAAACUUAAUUAAAAGUUUAGUUAUCUUCUUCCUCUUUCAAUAUCUUUUCUCUAUAUUAUUUUGUUCUAUUUUAGAUCUUAAGUUAUAUAAUCGGCAUCGGCACAAAUACUAGUUCUAAUAAGUGGUAUCAGAGCAAAUCACGCUUCCAAUACUAUAUUCAACUAUAAUUCUCAAUAGUUGGAUUUGUUUGAGAUAAUGACAAAGUGCGAAAGAAAAAUUAAUGUAAUAUUUUUUAGGAAAAACUUCAAAAACACCCCUUGUGGAUUCGCAUUUUCUCACUUAGUACCCUGUGGUUUAAAGUGUAUCAAUUUGAUGCCUUGUGGUUUCAUUUUUUCUCUUUUUAUUAUCAAUUUCACUAUUUUUUUUCUUAAAUUAGUGAUAAAGUUAAAAUUAAAGGGUACUAAAGUGAAUAUUCAAUAAGCCUAAGUGGGUAUCUGAUAUUUUUUUUGUAUAUAAUUUAACAAAAUAUUAACGAAAAAGCUACCGAAAAGAUAAAAAUGAAAUCAUAUGGUAUUAAAUUGAUACACUUUAAAUUACAGGGUGCGAAACAUCGGGUUUUUUUUAAAAGUUUUCCCUAUUUUUUAUAGGGAGAAAAAUAGCUGAGACAAAAGCUAAAGUGCAAGGAAACUUUUAUGAUGGAGCUAAAAAGAUGUGCCUCAACUUUGACUAAGUGUGAGAAAGGGAGAAAAAGAAAUAGUCAAAGGAGAGCUGCAGUAGGCAUGAGAGGAAUCUCCAUUUCCACCAACCACCAUUAUAUGCCUUUUCAUCUCUAAUUUCCCUUCUUCUUCUUCAUCUUCUUCUUCUUAUUAUUAUUACUAUUAUUAUUACUAUUGUUAUUCCCAACUUAUUCUAUUUAUUCUCUUCUUAUUCACCCAAUUUGAUCAAACAUCAAACACCACAUCCUCUUGGAUUCAAGAGAAAGAGAGGAGCAAACACAAUUUUUUUUUGGUAUCAUCAUCAUCAUCACAUAUUGAUUGAUUAGUGUGUGUUUGUGUGUUUCUAAAGCAAGCUAUGGAAAGGUAUGGAGCAUCUCUUCUUGUCCAAACAUAUCUCUCUUUUUUUUAUUUUUUUUUAUUUUAAGCAUGCAACUUAAGAAUAGAGAACAAGAGCCAUUUAAUUUGAUUGGGUUUUUGUUUGGGAUUGUUGCAGGAUUUACUUCUUCUUUUUUUUUUACCUUAUUUUAUGUUCCUGAAUGAGGUGUAAACUUUUGAAUCAUGGGCCUUUUUUUUUCUUUUUUUGUUUUGAGAAAUUCAAGUCACUAAUUGAUGGAGUAGGUUUAUGAGAUUAGUAAUGAAUGAUGUGAUAUACAAAAAAAAUUGGGUAUGGGAUGUUAGAGUGAGAAAAAGACUCUUUGGUGGAAUAGCUUCCAUAGAGUAAGUCUAAAAAAUCUUUGGUUGGUGGAGUUUGUAUUAUUUGUAGGGCUAAAUUUAAAUUUUUGGUCCGCCAAACUAUGAGACGCGUGACAUUUUGGUCAUCAAACUUUAAUUUGUUGUGAUUUCUGGCUCGAUUGCUUAGUUGACGAACUUCUCCGAAGUAACGUGGCAUCUUAAUCAUUAUCGCGUCAUCAAUCGCAAAACUAUUGUAUUACUGUUAUAUUAGUGAUACAUCAAAUAUUCAGUCAAUUAAAUUGAGCUGCGGCACUUGAUUGUGACAAUUCAAAAAGUUCGAAACUGAAAUUACGACAAAUCGAAGCUCGGUUUUUCACAAUCUUUCUCUUCCAAAUGCUUCCCUACAAUCUACAUGGAGUUAAAAUUACAAACUCUUAGGCUUUCACUUCCCCUUAGCAUUCAUUUAGUUGUAUCAGUGACAUAUUUGUAAUAUGCAAUUGACAAUUAAAUUCACAAAUUUGUUCAUUUGUGCAGCAGAAACCAUCCUUUUUUUUUCUUUUCUUUUCUGUUUUCUUUUCAAAACACUGAUUGCAGAAACCUGAAUUUCACUGCAGUUCUCUCUCCAAACUUGCUCCUCUAGAAGCAGUUCUGUUCGACAUCGACGGAACCCUCUGUGAUUCUGAUCCUUUUCACUACUACGCUUACCGCGAACUGCUUCAGCAGGUAUAUGUUUUUACAGCAAAACAUGAGGAUCUGAUCAGCAAACAUCAUGUCAGUAGUGCCUUUUCAAUCUGAAGUUUUAUAUCCUUCGCAGAUUGGUUUCAACGAUGGAAUUCCGAUAACCGAAGAAUUCGGCAUCAAGAACAUAGCUGGGAAGUCGAACGAAGACGUCGGUCGCGUCCUUUUUCCUGAUUCGGAUCAAGAGAAGAUCACGAAAUUCUUCGAAGAGAAAGAAGCUAUGUUCUGCAAGUAAAUCUUCUUGUCGCUUUGAUUAGAUCACUUUUGUUGCUGCAACUUUUAAAUGCGAGUUUUUGAGUGAAAUACGUACCGAUGAUUGCGUAGUGAAUUGCAGAGAAUAAAAAGAUUACUUUUUGAGAUCGUAUUUUUGAGAUUGAAAAGUUGUGUUUGUGUGUGUGUGUGUGUGUGUGUUUUGAA
rnacentral:lncRNA from 1 species